GCAUUGAUGCUAUUUCUUUGGGAACAUUUCCUGUAAGAUUAUUGUUGUCGAGUGAGAGAUCAAACAAGGGCAAGUUACAUAAAUCAUGUGGAAUGUUUCCUGUAAGAUGGUUUGAGAACAGGUGAAGUCGUUGUAAUUUGGUUGCCCCAGCUAGUUCUGGUGGUAUCACACCUGAUAAAUUAUUGUUGGAGAUCAUGAGGCUUGUGAGGCUACGAAACUUUCCCCAGUUAGGUGAAAGUUGACCAUAAAAGUUAUUGUCACUCAAUUCGAUGUAGUCCAAAUUUGGAAGUACACCAAAAGCAUCUGUUAUAUCCCCAGUUAGCUGGUUUCGCUGAAGCCGGACUCUUAUAAGGCUGGAGCAAUUCUUGAAACUCACUGGAAUUGGGCCUGUGAAGUUGUUAUUUUCAGCAGAAAUUUUUUUCAACUUUCCACCAAUGCAAAUGUUUUGAGGUAAAUGGCCUAUAAAAUUAUUGUCAGCUAGCUGCAAACUAUUCAGAGCAGUAAGCAUGCUCAUUUCUAUUGGAAUCUUGCCACCAAGUUCAUUUCCAAUAAAUACUAAUUUCCUGACAUUUGAUAAAUUUCUAAUAGUUGAAGGAAUUGAUCCAGUGAGUUCAUUAAAGGAUAUAGAUAAUACAUUAAGCUUUGACAAAUUUCCAAUGAUGAAAGGAAUAGAUCCAGAGAGUUUAUUUUCAUCAAGGAACAAGGAGUCCAAAUGGACCAAGUUGCCUGUGGAAGCUGGGAUUGGUCCAGUGAGUUCAUUCAAGGAUACAGAUAAUACACUAAGCUUUGACAAAUUUCCAAUGGUGAAAGGAAUGGAUCCAGAGAGUUUAUUUUCAUGAAGGUCCAUGAAGUCCAAAUUGACCAAGUUGCCUAUGGAAGCUGGGAUUGGUCCAGUGAGUUCAUUCAAGAAUAUAUAUAAUUCACUAAGCUUUGACAAAUUUCCAAUGGUGAAAGGAAUGGACCCAGAGAGUUUAUUUUUAAAAAGGUGCAUGGAGUCCAAAUUGACCAAGUUGCCUAUGGAAGCUGGGAUUGGUCUAGUGAGUUCAUUCAAGGAUAUAUAUAAUCCACUAAGCUUUGACAAAUUUCCAAUGGUGAAAGGAAUGGACCCAGAGAGUUUAUUUUCUUCAAGGAACAAGGAGUCCAAAUGGACCAAGUUGCCUAUGGAAGCUGGGAUUGGUCCAAUGAGUUCAUUAAAGGAUAUAGAUAAUACACUAAGCUUUGAUAAAUUUCCAAUGGUGAAAGGAAUGGACCCAGAGAGUUUAUUUAGAUCAAGGAGCAUAAAGUCCAAAUUGACCAAGUUGCCUAUGGAAGCUGGGAUUGGUCCAGUGAGUUCAUUCAAGGAUAUAUAUAAUACACUAAGCUUUGAUAAAUUUCCAAUGGUGAAAGGUAUGGACCCAGAGAGUUUAUUUUCAUGAAGGUGCAUGGAGUCCAAAUUGACCAAGUUGCUUAUGGAAACUGGGAUUGGUCCAGUGAGUUCAUUAAAGGAUAUAGAUAAUACAUUAAGCUUUGACAAAUUUCCAAUGGUGAAAGGAAUGAUACCAGAGAGAUCAUUGUAAGAAAGAUUAAGAAACAAGAGUUUGGAGAGAUUACCAAUGGUAUUGGGAAUGCUACCAAAGAGAUUAUUAGUGGACAAGUCAAGAGUGUUGAGAUUGGAUAAGGAACCAAUUUGAGGAGGAAUAGUUCCAUUCAAGGAAUUGUGACUCAUAUUUAGAGUGAGAAUGUUUGGAAGUAAUGAGAAGUUGAGACUUUGAAGCGUACCUCUUAAUCCAACAUUUGUAAGAUUUAUGUUGGAAACAGAAUUGAACUCAUCACAUGCAAUUCCGAGCCAAAUGCAAGGAUUAUUGCCACUCCAUGAAGAGAGAGAAGCAUGACUUUGGUUGUCAAGGCUGGAUUUCCACUUCAACAAAGCAUUUGCUUCUGAAGCAAUCUCAGAAGAAGCAGCAAAUGCACAGAAGUACAUCACAAGAAGCAGCAAAAGUGGUUGGAGCUUCAUGGACAGAAGCGUUGGAAUUAUGAACACCAUGAGGAAAUUUUGAGGAAGGAUUCAAUCACAGAUUGUCUGAUACAAUCAAAUGCUGGAGAAGUACUUACAAGCAAUUCAUGCGAUAUGCACACUUAUAUGCAAAACAUCGUGAACCACGAACCAGAGUCAAGAGAUAUUAUAUAACUAAUUUAUGGGAUAUUAUCCUUGAGAAACUUUAAAUAAAAUAUUUAUAACUAAUUUUUAUUUCUAAUGAACAUAAUAGGACCUUUUUCAGGGCAACAUAAUAGAACUUUAAAUUAAAUAUAAUUAUUAUUUUCUGGCAUUGUGAUUAUGGGAUCUUAAUAAUAAGCUUUAUAUAUUAUAUGUCUUAAAAAAUAAUUGCUGCUAAAAAAAAUAUAUAAGUUUUAUAAAAAAAUUAAUGUAAUAAAGUUAUGUAUUAUUAAAUAUAUAAUUUAGAAAAAAAAUAUUAAUUUGUUGCAGUCCCUUAUACAUUUUAAUUAUAUUAAAUCAUUUAAAUGUUAUAAUAUUGAAAACUAAUUAGGAUGAAGACCGAAGAGAAGCGACAAAUUCAUAAUAUGGAAAUAAUUAAAGUGAGAAAGACAAUAUCAAACAAGACAGCCGAUCAGUGGGAUCAAUAUAAGUCUGUAUGGGUAAAUUUCAAUACUGUUUCUGUUGGCAAGCAGAAAUUUCCAUAGUGUUAUGCAUGGGUAAAUUUCAAACUUCCACAUAACCAUUUCUGUAACACUAUUUUUUUAACAACUGUUUUAAUUAGAAUAUAAAAGAAAUUUAAUUUAAUUUAUGCUAUAAAUCAUUGAAUUUUAAAAAUAUAAUAAGUUUAAUUAUGUGUUUUAGAUGAGCUUAGUUGUUUCUUUUCUAGAUGAGUAUAAUUAAGAGUUACACUUUUGAUACAAGGGGAGGGGAGUUACUAUAUAUUUCAUGUAAAUUGUUAUCGGUUCCAAGUUAUCAAGAGGUUGAGAGUUUUUUUAUUUAUUUUAGAAUUACUCUCGUUGAAUAAAAUAUACAUGAUGAUUGCAUUAUGCAUUGUUUUCACACCAUUUUAUUGCAACGGAUAUGUUGCACAAUAAUUUUUAUAUGCCUAUUAUGAUUAUGAAGUCCUUGGGAUCCAUCAUCUUUUUGAAUUUUACUAAUAAAAAAAAUACGACUUCACACUAUCAUUAUCUCAACACCAAUCAAGAAAUUCAUAAAAUAUUAUAAAAAUAUAAUAAUAAUAUUUAUUUAUAUUUGAUGAUAUUUUUUAAAUGUUACCAAAAAAAUUUAGUAAUAUUUUACUAAAUGUUAAAUAAAAAAUAUUACUAACUUUCACUGUGUAGUAGUGAAUUAUAUUUUAGAUUAUUAUAAUUAACGGUAUAACUUAUACAAUUAAUUAUUAUGAUUAUAAAUAAAUAUUAUAUGUUUAAAAUAUAUUUUAAUUAUUAUUUUAGCAAAUUAGUAUUCUAAAAGAAUAAUUACAAAUGAUAUACGUAUAUAUAAGUAAAAUCAAAUUAAAUACAAAUAUUAAGGUAGUAUUUAGUUAGUGUUAUUAAUCAUAAUUAUAUAAAUAUUUAAAUAAUCUAGUAUUUUUCUAAUAUUAUAUUUGUUAAAAAUCAUACAUGAUAAAUUUUAAUAACAUUAUUAAAUAUAAUAUGUUGAUUGAAUUUAAUAAAUGUAAUGCUAAUAUAUGGAUAUUAGACAUUCAAAUUUUUGAAUGAUUUUAUUUAUAUAAAAAUUAUUAUUAAAUAAAAUGAAAUCACUAAAAUAUACAUUUUAAAAUCUUAUAAAGAAUAUUUUUUUAGUAAGUUGCGUUAAUCCUAAACGUUUAUAUCUAGGAGAAUGAUUUAUUUAAUAGAAAAAUUCAUAUUUAAUUUGUUUCGUGUGUAAAUUUUUUUAUUUCAAUGACAAACACCAAUAAUAAAUAAAACUAGUCUCGGACAGAAUAGGUAGAGGAAAUCCGUGUUCUUUGAACGGAUAAAAAUAGUAUAUUAAAUUAUAUAUUUUAUCAUAAGGAAUGAGCAGCAAAAGUGCAAUACUUCCGAUCUAUUAAAAGAGAAAAGUAUAAUGGAUAUGUUGGGAUGCAGUUCAAAAAGAUGUUUUAUUAUUUUAUCGACUGGAAAAAUAUCUUUUUUAUUUUUUAAGAGUUUUUAGUUAUUAAUUUUUUUUUUAACUUUUAUAAAGUAAAAGUUGCCAACAGAUUUUUUUUUUUAAGUUUACAUUUUCAGCUUGUGAAAUUUUCUUUGGGAAUGUGUUCCUUAAAUAAUGAUUGGAUAAUUAUGUUCUCAAAAAAUUUUAAAAUAACAAAAAAUAUUUUUCUCAUUUUUUAAACCUUCAAAAUUUUUCUCUCUUAUUCCUCUGAACGUGCCGUGCCUUCCUCAAAAUUUCUGUGUAUAGUGUAAUAUUUACAUAAGAAGAAAGAAUGAAGUAUAAUACCUGCCUUUCUAAAGGGAAAGAUACAAAAAAAAAAAAAAAAAAAGACAACAAAGAAAGACUACGAACGCGGAUAUAAGAAAAGCCAAGCAUGUGCACUGCAUCCAGGACCAGCCCUAAUAAGUAAUAACCCUUAGGGAGGGUUACAUGAUCACAAUUUGAUUUGAUAUACUUCAAGAUUAACGACUCAAAUGAAAAUAUCGAAUUUCCUUCCUAUUUUUUAAAAUAUAUAUCAAUGUAUUUACUAUUCAAUAAAAGAAUUAAAAAUGCUAUUAAAACCCUAAAUUUUAUAGAAAUUAAUGUAAAACAGCAAACACGUUAGAGUAAAAUAUCCUUUUUUACUUCAUUAACCCUCUAUCAUCCCGUUUACUUAAAGUACUAAAAGGAAAGGGUUGAAAUUAAUUUAUUAAAAUGACUCAUACAAAUAAUUUUAAUGUUCUACCAUUGCAUUAGAUUUUACUAAAACCCAAUUUAGUCUUUUUAAUUUUUUGUUAUCAUUAUCAAUUAAGUAUUAAAAUAUUUAUUAAUAGCAAUAUUACUAGAAUAAAUUACACUUUCCUCUCUUAAAAAAUGCGAAUAUCACACUAUCAUCUCCUCUUAUAUUAAAAACUUUACUCUCUUUUCCUAACACAUUUUAAUACAUGACACUUUAUUUCUUUUUAAUUUUGCGUUAAAAUUCUGUUUGUUUCCAUUAAAAUAAACUACAUUACUAAAAUAUUCUUUACACUACCACCGCCUCUAAGGUGCAAAUAUUUCACUGCACUCCCUUCUUGUGUUAAAAUACAUACUUCAUCCCUUAGCUAAUGUGCGCAUAUAUAUAUAUAUAUAUAUAUAUAUAUAUAUAUAUAUAUAUAUAUAUAUAUAUAUAUAUAUAUAGAGGAUAUUUCGUUUUUAAAAUGUUUAAUUAAUUUUUUUUAAACAAUUAUAAAAUUUUAAUGUCUGAAUACACACACUUAGUAAAUCAACGCUCUAAAUUCAUAGAAGUGUAAAUAGAUGCGUAAAAGGUGUUUUUAGGUUAUGCUUUAUUUUUAUUUACGAACAGAAACAGUUUUUUGAGAAGUGAAUUACACAAACAAUUGGGUGGUCCGAAUCUGUUAGUAUUUUUAAUCUCUUUUAUUUUUAAUGCAAUAUUAUAUGUUGUUUAAUGAUUAUGUGAUCAUAAUUGGCCAAACUCCUUAGAACCGGAUUCUGAUGUGGUUAUACUCAUUUACUUUAAUUUCUCUUUUUAAUAAAAUUCUUCUAUUCAAUUAAUUGUAUCUUUUCAUUGCUUUCACUUCUAUAUUGAAAUCACUCUGAUUAUUAGUUCAUUAUGUGCUUAUGGUCAUCUUCUCAUAAUUAAUUGACCUAUAGAAUGAAAUGGUUCAUAAAACUUGUAUGAUCAAACUGGUGACAUGAAUUUCUUUUUUUUACAAACUUCUAUAUUAUUUAUCUUUAACCAUAAAUUAAAUUCAAAAUGACUAAUGCAUGAUUAAUUUUGGGGAGAGAGUAUUCUCAGACUUUAACUAUAGGUUGACAAUUAAAAUAAGAGAUAUUAGACUAUUAAUCAAUAACUUAGAGUUCUUAAUUAAAAUAGGAAUUAAGGAAAAACGGUACAUGUGAAAUCAUAAUAUGAGUCACUCUUUUUCAUACAUAUCUUUUCUUCAAAUUGUUGUUUGUUUUUAAUUUUAUUUUCUUGAAUGCAAUACAAAUCAUCCCCAACUUAAGAUAAAAACUUAAAAUUAUUUAUUUUAUCUGAUUUAGAUUAUUUGAAAAUACAACUACACUUUAGGAUAUGAAUUCCAAACUUUCAGUUUAUGGUACACUUAGCAUUAAUAAAUCCAUAUUUUACGCAUUAGUAAUUAAGUAUGUUUUCAUUAUUCCUUUUCAAUUUUAAUUAUUGUUAUUAAGAUCAGAAUGGACCAUUUGAAUCUAUUUUUCUAAGGGAACUACUAUUGGCCCUUACACAUUGCCUUUGGACCCUACUCCCCCCUUCAAAAUACUCAUAUGUCCAUAUUGGGCAUUAACUACUUUUUUUUAAUUAUUAUUCAAUUUGAUCAUCUGUUUUGUGAUAUUCAUUCAUUAUGAUCUUUUCGUUUGACAUCAUUUGUGUCAAUUUAGACAAAGGAGUAAUAUGAGCAUUUUUGUUUUAGAAAUCAAAUUCAACAUUUUAAAAAUAGAUACAUCAUUAUGAAUAAUAUAAAUAAAAAAGAUCAAAAAAAUAAUUUAAACUAAAAAUAAGGAUAAAAAGAAAAAAAAGAAUUGAAAUGAAUGAAAUGGAUCAUGCGUAAAAUUAAACAUGUGAAUAUUUACUUAAAUUACAUUAAUCAACAUUUAAAAUAUCAUAUAUGUUUCUCAUUUAAAAUAAAUUAUUUCUCUUAAAAUUUAUUUUAGAUCUCACAUGUUAUUGGACCGACUCAUAUCUCUAUAUUUUCUACCACGGCAAAGCUAGCUCCAGCCAUUGCCAAAUGAUUUGAAGUCUCACCUCUUAAAUGAAUAGAAACUUUUCGCCAGAAUUAAACUCCACAUACUUUCUGGAAGUCUUUUGUACAGAGUCAAUUUCCAAAAUGGUGAUGUCUAGUUAAAGGCUAAUAGUAGUAUUAUGUAUGCUGUGGAUCCUGUCAUGUAUGUCACAUUCAUUGACUUUGCAUAAAAAAGAGAGAGAGCAAGUUAAUUAACAUUAUUUUACUGUCUUUCAUUAUAUAUUACAUCUGGAGAAUUUGCUGGUGGAUGCUGAUGGAGAGCUUAAAGUAUCAGAUUCUGCAUUGAGUGUUCUGCCUCAACAAUAAUUUGGAUCUUUCAAAUUAUUCCCGCAAGAGGGCUGGACCUAUUUUUUUUAUGAUGUUUCGAUAAAAAAAGAUUAAUUCUCUUCAUAAAAAAGAGGAGGUAGAACCAAUAAAGAGUGAUUAUUCGAUUCAUCCCUUGAAUUGAAUAACUCAUUCAAGAAAUGUUUUUGACCCAAUCCGGAGGAAUCAAUAGAAAAAGUAAAUCCCUUAUGAUACACUAGAUCUGGCUGGGUUAUUGAUAGAGUGAAUAGAUCUGUCAUUUCUUGAUAGAGUGCAAGGACUGAUCUAUUCUAUGGUCUUGUAGUGUUUUUCUUUUUGUUCUAAUGGCUGGUUAUUUGCAUUUCAAUGACAAUAACAUAAAGAAGAGUGGGGUAUUUUAUGAGUAUUCUAGCUCUCUUAAUAUAUGGAGUGGUCUUUUUUCCUAGCAUGAUUGACUGGAUUGAUCUCACAUUAGUUGAUGCAUUCUUAGUCUUUUAUUAUAGACAGGAAAGUCAUGUGGUUGCUUAAGAGUAACACAAAUAUCAAAUUGAAAUAGAUAAAAUCAUAUGAACUUUAAACAGUAAGGAAUUAAUAAUAUAUGAGCAAAGGUCUAAAAUUCAGUUAUUUAAGACCAGAGCACUUUAGAAGAUAAGACCCCAACAUCGUAGUUCUAAAAAUGCAUUAUUAUGACGUCAUAUGUAAAGGUGAUUCUCACAAAAUGUUUCUCAUGGUAGUGUUGGUUGUAACAUCCUAUUUUUCAUAAACUAAUUUAAAAAGGAUUGUUAUUUGUAAAUAAAUAGAGUUUUAUAAAAAAUGAUAAGGUUUUCAUAAUUAAAUAAAUAAGGAGAAAUAACUUUAUUAAUUAAAAUAAUGGUUUAGAGAAAAUAAAAAGGAUAUUUUAUUUAUUCAUUUGAUAGUGAAUAAAAUAGAGUUUAUUUUUAUAAAAUAAUAUAAAUAAAUAAAUAAAUAAAGUAAAUAAUAGGUUGUGAGUACCCUAGUUAUAAAUAGAGAAAUGUUAGGUCAGUUUUCAGACUGACGAUAUCUUUUCAACUUCCUCUUUCUCUUAAUUUUCCCUUCUCUUUCUCACAAAAUUCUCUCUUUUCCCACAUACCACCAAACCUAUAUCAGAAAAACGACGAUUUCAGAUUUCAGACUCAUUCACUGUUUGAUCGUCGUGAAAUUUAAAAACCAGGUUUGCAACUCAAUUCUGAGCAUUCUCACCGUUGGGAAUUACGAAAACAUAUCGAAGCUGAGAGUAAUACCCUUCGCAUUGUAACUUUUCUUUUCCCGCAGAAACCCAGAGCUAUCUCGGUAAAACUAUGAUCCCGAACUUUUUAACCGUUGGGUUGUUGUCUUAUUUUUAUAUGUGGUUCGCGAUUCAUUUAUGCAUGUUUUCACCGUUGGGAUUUACAAAAUAAUAUCUGUUGAGGGAGAAAGAUGCAUCGCAUGUAGGACCAUAGAAUGGAGGCUUCAAUCCCUUUUCUUUCUCUCCAACAUUUGGGAACCCUAACAGAGAAACCGGAGGAGGAGCUCUAGAGAGCACCAGAAACGCCACAAUUGAUAACGAAGAACGCUUGAGCGACUACAUCGAAGUAAAGGAUGAGUUAUUCACAAAUGGGGAUUAGUGAGAACAUGUAUAGGGAUCCUUAGAGUACCAAUUAGAAUGGGUUUUGGGGUGUUUCUGCAAAUUUUAUUUUAUCCUUAUAGUUAUAACUGUGAAUUAUAUAUGUUUGAUGAACCAAUUGAUGUCCCAAUGAAAAACUAUUGUGAAAUUGAUGUAUUCUUGUGUUGAGUGUGAACCCUAUAAAUUGAACCUUUGUCUAAUUAGCGUGAAUUGAUAAAAUUAAGUAAGUAGAGGUUUAGCGUAAGAGGGAGUGAGAUAUUGAUUUUGUAUUUUCUCUUUUUCAUGCUUUUUAGCGUAAGAGGGAGUGAGAUAUUGAUUUUAUAUUCAUGACCCAAUAUGAUGUAUGUUGUUGGUUUUAUAUAUAUAAAUUUAGCUAUAUAUUUAUUUAUAUUAAUAUUUUAUGUAAAUAAUAUUGUAGUGUUGUUAUAGUGUGAUUCCAAAAAUUAUUCAAGUGUUGGAGUUUGAGAAUAUUAUGGUCAGAUUUGAGGUACAUGUGUAUUGAGAUGUGUGUAUUGAGUUGUGAGUUGUGAAUUAUACAAUAGCCCAACCAGUGUUGAUAUUGAGAAAAGUGUUGAUGCGCAGUGUUAAAGAGAAAGUGUAGGUUUCCUAUUUAGGAAUCAGUGUUGAAUUGUAGCACAAUGUGUUAAACGUGUUUGAAACACGAGUGUGAGGUCGUGGAUAUUGUAUAAUUCAUGAGCAAUGUUUAUAAAUGAAAUAUGUGAUGUAUUGUUGAAUAACAUGUUGCUUUGAGAUUAUAAUAUUGUUACUGAGAUUGAGUAUAAGUACAAAGUUGAACAUGUGUUAAUUUGUGAGAUACGUGUAAACAUGUGAUGGUGGAUUGUGACACUAUGAUCUGUGAAAUUGUGAAUGAGUUUUGGCUGUGAAUAAGUGUGUGGUUAACACUUAAUGUGACAUUACUUGUGUUGUAAGUUGUGAAUUGUACAAUAAUCCGACUAGUGUUAUCUUGAGAAAAGUGUUGAUGCACAGUGUUAAAGAGAAAGUGUAAGUUUCUUAUUUAGGAACUAGUGUUAAAGAGAAAGUGUAGGUUUUCUAUUUAGGAACCAGUGUUAAAUUGUAGAGCAAUUGUGUUAAACGUGUUUAAAACAUGAAGGUGAGGUCGUGGGUAUUGUAUAAUUCAUGAGCAGUGUCUGCAUGCAAAAAAUUAUUUUAGGGGUUAGACCUGAAUCGGGAGAGAGAGGCCCUGACGGACUCUUCGGAGUGUAGACCUUGGGAGUCACCCAGUUUGAGUGCUCCUUUAAGCCUGUGCCGAUUCCGCAUGGUUGGAGCAUUUUCGUAAAACAGCGUGACCCUGACUGGUCUCCCUAUGAUUUUACUUAGUGAGAGUGACCUGACAUACCCAUUGUGUGGUGUGUCUUGGUAUGUACUCCUAAGCGCCCUAGGGUGGUUUUUCACUGAUAUGGUAUCAGAUUGCAUAUAGGCUUGAGUCUUAGCAUAACUAUUGCAUACGCUUGCUAAUUAUUUAUUAUGAAAUUGAUGUGUUAUUAUGUCUUGAUCGGAGUGUGUGAUUCUUGUGUAAUGUGAUUGAUGAUUGAAAAGUGUAAUUGAUGAUUGAAAAGUGAAUUUUGAAUGACAAAGUGAUUGAAUUACAUGAGUUAUGUUUAAGUAAGUUUUAUUUUAUUUAUAUGAUAUGUAUAUCUAGUUAUCUUGCUUCUCUAUUAGUUAGGAAUGUGAUAACUCACUCUCCUUGUGUUGUUUGUGUUUGGAUCCUGUGAUGAUCUUGAACUUUGUAUUCGAGGGAACAGAUGACUAGAUGAAUUGCUUUAAGGAACCUUGUACUGAAGGACGUCAGGACACAAUGCUUUGAUAGGAUGUGACAUUGGAGCAUAAUAGUCUAUUUUAUUUUACCUCACUGAUUUAACAAAAUAUUUUUUUAUAAAUUUUGACGGCCUUGUUUUGAGUUGAAUAUAUUUUUAAUAAGUUUUAUUUGGUAAUAGUGAAGUAAAUGUGAACCUUUUACCCAUGUGAAUUUGUUUACCAAUAUUUUAUAUGUUUUAUUUAUUUAUAUAAAUGUCGGGGUAGAGGGUGUCACAUUGGUCAGCAUAACACAUUUUUCUUCUAGAACACAUGAUAUCUACGCAAUUCUAAAAGUAUGAAACAAUUUUAAAUAGACUUUUGAAGAACCUUAUUGUAGAUGUAAUUGCCUUUGAUGUUUUGAUGAUGAUCAUGAUGAUGUGUUGCAAUUGAUGCAAAUGGGCUUUUCAAGAUUAAAUUCAAGACAAUACUUCAAGAUUACAAGUCACAACAUCAACAUGAUCACUAGAAUAUUAGGAAGGGAAUUCCUAAUUGAAUUAGCAAAGGUUUGGCCAAGUGAUUUAAAUUAAAAAAGUGUUUCUCAAAGGUUUUACUCUCUGGUAAUCGAUUACCAGAGGAUGUAAUCGAUUACCAGUGGCCAAAUACGUUUUAUAACAGCUACAAAAAUUUGAAUUCGAAAUUUUAGACUGUGUAAUCGAUUACACAAUUUUGGUAAUCGAUUACCAGCAGUUAGUAAACGUUUUAAUUCAAAUUUUAAAAGCUGUAAUCGAUUACACAAUCACUGUAAUCGAUUACCAGACAGGAUUUUCAGAAAAAUAAUUUCAAGAGUCACAACUUUUCAAAGGCUUUAUUCAUGACCACCAAUGGUCUAUAUAUAUGUGACUUAAACACGAAAUUGCUCAGAGAUUUUCAUAACAACAAGUGUUUAUCCUCUCAAAGAGAAAAUUCAUUUUAUCCUCUUAAGAAUUCCUUGGCCAAUUCAAUUGCAAUUCAUUAAGGAAUUAUUUGAGUGCUCAAUCUGUAAAAUCCAUCUCUUUCUAGAGAGAUUUGUUCUUCUUCUUCUUCUCAUUCUCUAAGGGAUUAAGAGACUGUGAGUCUCUUGUUGUAAAGGAAUUCUAAACACAAAGGAAGGAUUGUCCUUGUGUGUUUAGAACUUGUAAAAGGAAUUUACAAGAUAGUGGAACUCUCAAGCGGGUUGCUUGGGGACUGGACGUAGGCACAAGGGUGUGGCCGAACCAAUAUAAAACUGAGUUUGCAUUUUCUCUUCCCUUAAUCUCCUUUAUUUAUUAUUGCUUUAUAUUCAUAUUCAAAUUGUUUCAUUUGAAUUAAUAUUUAAGAAGAUUGUCAUUAAGGGAAUUCAUAACUUGAGUAAAAAGUGAAAUAGAUUUUUAAUUAGGGGAAAUAGUUUGGAAUAUCUUAAUUCAACCCCCCCUUCUUAAGAUAUCUGAGGCCACUUGUCUAACACUUAUAGUUAAAUACACUUUAACCAAUUUUAAAGAAUAAAAGUAUGAAACAAUAUAUAAACUCAAGAAUGUCAUUCUGUUAGCCUAUUUUAAUUCCAAAUUAUAAUAUUAAUUCCAAACUAUAUAUAAAAAACCCUAAAAAGCAAGAAAAGGGAAAAAAAUACAAAAUCAGAAUUUCAGUCCCUCUUACAGUAAAUAUUUCCUUAUUUAAUUUCAUUAAUUCACACUAAUUAGAAAAAUACUCAGUUUCUAGUAGGGGUGGGAAUAGGCCAGGUCUGAGCCUAGCCUACGAUUAAUUUUUGAGGCCUGAGCCUGGUCUAUAGCCUAUCAAAAGCUUUUAUUUUAGCUCGGUCUGACCUUUUUAAAAGCCUAGCCUGGCCUGGUAGCCUAUUUAAAAGCUUAUUUAAAAAUCUUCUUCACAUUAAAUCUUUAAUAUUUCUAGUUGUUUUUACCAAAAAAAAUAAAUAACACACCUUCUAUAAUAGGCUAAACAAGGCCUUAAUAUAUAAUUUGCCUUAAUUUUUAAUCUAACGUUAAUUUAGUUGGUAGUCCUAAAAAUAUAUUAAUAAUAUAAACAAAAAUCACCAAAUGAUAUAAAUAAUCUAAAACAAAAGAAAACCUCAUACUUAGGUAGUAUCAUCCAAGUCUAUCAAACCAACAUAUUAAUUAUUACAACCAAAAAAUAAAGCCUACAUCUCCAUUCUAUUUGAACAGAACCGGUGCAUAAAAUAUCUACCAAUAAAAUUAAUAGUAACGUCAUUUCAUCAUUAGCUCCUCCAUAUUCACCAUAAGAUAGGAUAUGAUUUUUGUAUAGGAACGUAAUAGGAUAUGAUAGGAUAUGAUUUUUGUAUAGGAACGUAGGAUAUGAUAGGAUAUGAUUUUUAUUUGCUCUAGAAUACAGUAACGUAAUAAAAGAAGAAGGAAAUCUAAUAGGAAUACAAAAAGGAAUUGUUAACAGAAAUAGGAAAACUAAUAAAAAUAAUGAGAAAUAUAAAGAAACUUACACCUUGUAAUUAAAAUUUUACUUAAUUAUAGGAAUGGAAUCUGCUAGUUUUUUUAAAAAAAUAAUAUUAAUUGUACCCAAAAAAUAAUAUAUAUAUAUAUAUAUAUAUAUAUAUAUAUAUAUAUAUAUAUAUAUAUAUAUAGGCCGGCCUAUCAGGCUUAUAAGGCUUUUUAAUAAGUCUAAGUCUGGCCUAUUUAAUUUAAUAGGCUUUUAAAAAAGCCUGAGCCUAGCUUUUUAAUUAAAUAGGCCAGGUCAGGUCAGGCUUUAUGUAGGCCAGGUCGUAGGCUCCUGUAGGCCGGCCUAGCCUAUUCUCACCCCUAGUUUCUAGGAUUCAAACUCAACACAAGAACACAUCAAUUUCAUAGCAAUUUCACAUCGGAACACCAAUUAGUCUGUCAAACAUAUAUAAUUCACAGUUAUAGUUGUAAACAUAGAAUCAAAAUUUCAUAAAAACCCCAAAAUUCAUCUCAAUUGAUCUUCUAAGGAUACUUAUACAUGUUCUCACUACUCCCAAUGGUUAACAAGUCACGGAUGAUAGUUUUACUAGAAAAGGGAAUGAUCUAGAAGGAAGAGAAAGUGUAGAAAUAUCUUAAUAUAAGUACUGACCUAAUAUGUUUCUAUUUAUAACUAAGAUGUUCUGAUUAUAUUAUUUACUCUAUUUUUCUUUAUUUUAUUGUUUUAUAAAAAUGAACUAUAUUUUCUUAUUAUGAAAUGAAUAAAUAUAAUAUUCUUUUUAUUUUCUAAAAACACAUUUAUUUUAUUUACCUUCAAAUCAUUAUUUUAAUUAAUAAAAAUAUUUCUCUUUAUUUAUUAAAUUAAAAAUUUCAAUAUUUUUCUAAAAAUUUAUUUAUUUUUAAAUAAAAUACUUUUUAAUUUAUUUAAAAAAAUGGAAUGUUAAUGUGACUUUUGAGUAGUUAGUACAAGGCUCUACCCAACUAAGCUAAUAGACCAAUUAUGUUAUAAAAUAAUUAAUAUCGUUAUAUAUAACACUAAAAUUUCUAAUGUAUAUUAAAUGCACAUAUAAAUUUAAAUAAUAAAUUUAGUGACAAUUAAUUUUGAUCUAAUAAUUAAUUUUUUUACAUAUAUGAAUUGUAAAUGAAACCUAUAUUUUUAUUUAAAAUUUAUAUAUAUAUACACUAUUAGAUCAAAAUACAUUAGUAGAUUUAUGUUAAUAAUGUAUUUUUUACAUAUAUAAUUUUUUUUAUUAAACCUACGAUUUUUAUUUACAAUUUAUAUAUGUAAACAAAUUAAUUAUUAGAUCAAAAUUAAUUGUCAAAAAUUUCUUAUGUAAAUUUAUAUAUGCAUUAAAUAUACAUGAAAAUUUUUAGUGUUAUCUAUAGCGAAAAUAAUUAUUUUAACAUAAUUGAUUUAUUAGUUCAAUUGGUUAGAGUGUCGUACUAACAAUAUCCGUAAACCAAUUACGGAAAAGCAAUAUGGGAAUUACAAUGUUGUGUUGGAUAUACUAGAAAAACAAAUGGUGCACGUAGCAAUUCCCAAACCAAUAAUGUUUUGUGUUGGACUUUUAUGGACUUUCGUAUAUUUUGGGUUUUUUAAUUGUAAUCCAUAACCCAAAUAUAUCAACACACUUUCGUAGGAACUAGGGUUAUCAGAAAUUAAAUGUAGAAGCGGUUUUCUUUAAGCUUUCCUUUAUCGUCCCCUUGCAAUUUAUCUUUCUUAGUCUAGUUAGCAGCAGAGUCUAUCAAUCUAAAUGUGGAAUGCUAUUCAGUUAUCUAAGACUAGACCACUCUAGAGGAUAAGACCCCAACAUCGUAGUUCUAAAAAUACAUUAUUAUGGGUCAUAUGUAAAGGUGAUUCUCACAAAAUGUUUCUCAUGCUGGUGUUGGGAGCAUAACACAUUUUUCUUCUAGAACACAUGAUAUCUAGGCAAUUCUAUCAUGAGCAUAAUGCUUUACGUAAAACAUCCAAUCAAAAACUCAAGAUAAAAUUUAAAUAAUUUCAGUUCAAGCUUCCUUAUAAGUAGUUCAUGCAUUUUCCUUUACUUUGCUGACUUGUCGUUAAUUUUAAAUUAAUUGAAGGAAAGGGAACAAUUGAUUUGAAUUAUUAUAUUUUCUGAAGUAAAAAAUAACACUAUAUUUGUUUCCUUUAUUUUAAUAGGAAAAAAAUAAAGCUUACAAAUGUUAUCAUUGAUUUGGUUAAGGUAUCUAAAGUUCAGAAACCAAAAAACUAAAAUAAAAUGAUCUACAAUAUAAAAAAAAAAGAUACAAUACAAAAAUAGAAAAGAACAAUUAAAACUCAAGCAUGUUUAUUAAGUUCAAUCUUUCAGCUAUAUAUAAGUGACAAUGUAGAGCUAAUCCAUUGAAGAUGAGCUUGACAUUACCAGCUCAUUGGCAACCUGCUCCAUGGUAGGGCGAGAUCGUGGACUUUCAGUCAAGCAGGCCAUUGCUAUCUUUGCAAUUGAUGCCACUUCCUUACCAAUUGGCUUUGUUGGAUGAGGGAGACGUUGGUCCAACUUAUCCAUCAAUGCCAUGAGAUCGAGUGUUGAGGCCACAAGAGUAGAUGGAGAUGAUCCCAAUAAAGAAGAUAUAACAUCACCAGGGUGCUUCCCAAUAAGUAUUUCCCAUGCUAGGACCCCAAAACUAUACACGUCACAUUUCUCAUUCACCUCCAUUGUGUAUGCAAGUUCUGUAACAAAAUAAAAGUGCUAUCAUACGCAAAAUAGGAUUCUAGUGACAAAGGCAAAAUGUGGACAAUUGUGACUAAGAAAGGCAAACUAAAAAAUAUGAUAUCCUCAAUUUAGUAUAAAGAAAGGUAAUUAACCUGGAGCAGCAUAUCCAAAGGUUCCUACGAAUGAGGUCCAAUUGGAUGAAUCUGGAUUAAGAAACUUGGCUGUUCCAAAAUCUGAGACAUGAGCUACAUAUUCGGAAUCCAAAAGAACAUUCUUGCUUGAUAUAUCACGAUGAACAAUUCGAGGUGAGCAUUCAUGGUGCAUAUAGCACAGAGCAUGUGCUACAUGCUUUAACUACAUUAACCCUCUUAUACCAAUCAAAUGCCAUUGCUUGUCCAUCAUCCUUCAGGGUCUUCCCAACACUGCCAUUCUCCAGGAAUUCACACACCAAAAAUGAGAAUUGUGAAUGUGAACAAAACCCAUAUAACUUUACAAUGUUACGAUGUCGAAUUUCUGUCAAAGCUUGGAUCUCACAUGUGAAAGCUUUCAGAUUGAGCAUCUCUCCAUUUGGAACUGAAUGGAGUUUCUUCACAGCAACAACUUGACCUGUAGGCAGCACUGCUUUGUAAACACAUCCUUGCCCUCCAACACCAAUGAGAUGUUUGUCGUCAAAAUCUUCUGUGGCUUCAAUAAUAUUCUCAAAUACCAUUUUGCCAUCAAAACUCCAUAUUGCAAAUAUGUUAGGAGUUUGUAUACUUGUAGCCUGGUCUUCUUUGUUCGUUGAGGUUUGGCAUAAAUGAUACGAGACUCCGAAAGCAAAUAAUGCCAGUAUUAGAAUGCCCAAAGUAAGGGGUAAAAUUACUAUCAUUACUUUCUUCCUCAUAUGAUUAUGAGAUUUCCCACUUGAUGUUGAGCAAGGCUCCAAGCCAGUGACAUUGCCACACAAGCCUUUAUUAUUUCUCAAUGCUUCAAUUUUAGCAUUGUGGAAGGCUAGAAUGUUUGGAAGUGGACCCUCAAACUGGUUGUAUGAUAUAUCAAUAGAUGUCAAGCUCGUCAUAUCAUCGAAGCUAGAGAGAUUACCUGAAAGAUUAUUGUGAGAGAGAUUCAGUGUUUCUAAGCUUUUUAAUUCUCCAAACAUUGAAGGUAUUGUUCCUCUCAAUGAAUUUCCACCAAGAUCAAGACUCGUAAGAGAUUUCAGUUUGCCAAGCUCUGAAGGAAUAUUUCCCUGAAAAUUAUUUUGGCUCAGACUCAUGUUCAAUAAAUUGAGCAAAUUUCCUAGUUGUUUUGGGAUUAAGCCAGACAACUUAUUUGAUCCAAGCUUCAAAAUUUGAAGUUUCUGCAUUGAUGCUAUUUCUUUGGGAACAUUUCCUGUAAGAUUAUUGUUGUCGAGUGAGAGAUCAAACAAGGGCAAGUUACAUAAAUCAUGUGGAAUGUUUCCUGUAAGAUGGUUUGAGAACAGGUGAAGUCGUUGUAAUUUGGUUGCCCCAGCUAGUUCUGGUGGUAUCACACCUGAUAAAUUAUUGUUGGAGAUCAUGAGGCUUGUGAGGCUACGAAACUUUCCCCAGUUAGGUGAUAGUUGACCAUAAAAGUUAUUGUCACUCAAUUCGAUGUAGUCCAAAUUUGGAAGUACACCAAAAGCAUCUGUUAUAUCCCCAGUUAGCUGGUUUCGCUGAAGCCUGACUCUUAUAAGACUGGAGCAAUUCUUCAAACUCACUGGAAUUGGGCCUAUGAAGUUGUUAUUAGCAGCGGUAAAAUUUUUCAACGUUCCACCAAUGCAAAUGUUUUGAGGUAAAUGGCCUAUAAAAUUAUUGUAAGCUAGCUGCAAACUUUCCAGAGCAGUAAGCAUGCUCAUUUCUAUUGGAAUCUUGCCACCAAGUUCAUUUCCAAAAAAAUAUAAUUCCCUGACAUUUGAUAAAUUUCCAAUAGUUGAAGGAAUUGAUCCAGUGAGUUCAUUUAAGGAUAUAGAUAAUACACUAAGCUUUGACAAAUUUCCAAUGGUGAAAGGAAUGGACCCAGAGAGUUUAUUUUCAUCAAGGACCAAGAAGUCCAAAUGGACCAAGUUGCCUAUGGAAGCUGGGAUUGGUCCAGUGAAUUCAUUCAAGGAUAAAGAUAAUACACUAAGCUUUGACAAAUUUCCAAUGGUGAAAGGAAUUGACCCAGAGAGUUUAUUUUCAUGAAGGAGCAUGGAGUCCAAAUUGACCAAGUUGCCUAUGGAAGCUGGGAUUGGUCCAGUGAGUUCAUUAGAGUGUAUAGAUAAUUCACUAAGCUUUGACAAAUUUUCAAUGGUGAAAGGUAUGGACCCAGAGAGUUUAUUUUUAUGAAGGUGCAUGGUGUCCAAAUUGACCAAGUUGCCUAUGGAAGCUGGGAUUGGUCCAGUGAGUUCAUUCAAGGGUAUAGAUAAUACACUAAGUUUUGACAAAUUUCCAAUGGUGAAAGGAAUGGACCCAGAGAGUUUAUUUUCAUCAAGGAACAAGAAGUCCAAAUGGACCAAGUUGCCUAUGGAAGCUGGGAUUGGUCCAGUGAAUUCAUUCAAGGAUAAAGAUAAUACACUAAGCUUUGACAAAUUUCCAAUGGUGAAAGGAAUGGACCCAGAGAAUUUAUUUCCAUCAAGGAGCAUGUAGUCCAAAUUGACCAAGUUGCCUAUGGAAGCUGGGAUUGGUCCAGUAAGUUCAUUCAAGGAUAUAUAUAAAUCACUAAGCUUUGACAAAUUUCCAAUGGUGAAAGGUAUGGACCCAGAGAGUUUAUUUUUAUGAAGGUGCAUGGAGUCCAAAUUGACCAAGUUGCCUAUGGAAGCUGGGAUUGGUCCAGUGAGUUCAUUAAAGGAUAUAGAUAAUACACUAAGCUUUGACAAAUUUCCAAUGGUGAAAGGAAUGAUACCAGAGAGAUCAUUAUCAGAAAGAUUAAGAAACAAGAGUUUGGAGAGAUUACCAAUGGUAUUGGGAAUGCUACCAAAGAGGUUAUUAGUGGACAAGUCAAGAGUGUUGAGAUUGGAUAAGGAACCAAUUUGAGGAGGAAUAGUUCCAUUCAAGGAGUUGAGACUCAUAUUUAGAGUGAGAAUGUUUGGAAGUAAUGAGAAGUUGAGAUUUUGAAGCGUACCUCUUAAUCCAACAUUUGUAAGAUUUAUGUUGGAAACAGAAUUGAACUCAUCACAUGCAAUUCCGAGCCAAAUGCAAGGAUUAUUGCCACUCCAUGAAGAGAGAGAAGCAUGACUUUGGUUGUCAAGGCUGGAUUUCCACUUCAACAAAGCAUUUGCUUCUGAAGCAAUCUCAGAAGAAGCAGCAAAUGCACAGAAGUACAUCACAAGAAGCAGCAAAAGUGGUUGGAGCUUCAUGGACAGAAGCGUUGGAAUUAUGAACACCAUGAGGAAAUUUUGAGGAAGGAUUCAAUCACAGAUUGUCUGAUACAAUCAAAUGCUGGAGAAGUACUUACAAGCAAUUCAUGCGAUAUGCACACUUAUAUGCAAAACAUCGUGAACCACGAACCAGAGUCAAGAGAUAUUAUAUAACUAAUUUAUGGGAUAUUAACCUUGAGAAACUUUAAAUAAAAUAUUUAUAACUAAUUUUUAUUUCUAAUGAACAUAAUAGGACCUUUUUCAGGGCAACAUAAUAGAACUUUAAAUUAAAUAUAAUUAUUAUUUUCUGGCAUUGUGAUUAUGGGAUCUUAAUAAUAAGCUUUAUAUAUUAUGUCUUAAAAAAUGCUGCUAAAAAAUAUAUAUAAGUUUUGUAAAAAAAAAUUACUGUAAUAAAGUUGUAUUAUUAAAUAUAUAAUUUAGAAAAAAAAAUAUUAAUUUGUUGCAGUCACUUAUACAUUUUAAUUAUAUUAAAUCAUUUAAAUGUUAUAAUAUUGAAAACUAAUUAGGAUGAAGACUGAAGAGAAGCGAUAAAUUCAUAAUAUGGAAGUAAUUAACGUGAGAAAGAAAAUAUCAAACAAGACAGCCCAUCAGUGGGGUCAAUAGAAGUCUAGCUUGGUAUGUUGUACGCGUUUACUUUACAAAACUACAAAAUUGUUACUGUUAGCAAGCAGAAAUUUCCGUACUGUAAUAAUGCAUGGGCAAAUUUCAAACUUCCACAUAACCAUUUAUGUAACACUGUAUUUUUUUUUUAGGUAAAAUUAUAAAUUUGGUCUCUUACUUUAUUUCUAGUUUUUAGAUUUGAUCUCUGAGUUUUUAAAUUUAUGAAUUUGGUCUUUUUAUGUUGUAAAAUCGUGUAAUGUUGGUAUCAAGUUACAAUUAGACGUUGACGGUUACAAAGAAAUAUUGACUAUCACGUGUCAUGUUGUUCUUAUUGGAUGAUGACUAUCACAUGUCAUGAUUUGAAACUAUCAAAAGAAAAGAAUAAAGGUUUUUCAAUUUUAUCCAAAAAAAGGAGGGAAUGCACCCUUUUUUGAAAAAAUUUCCAAGUAACUGUUUUACGCCUUUGAGCACGUAUAGAUCCUUUGAUUAUGUCUCGCCAAAAAUCCAAUUGUUGGGAAUAACGUAUUAAAGCCAAUUCAUUUUUUUUUUCAGCGUUAUCAGUAUCUCUUGUAGGAUUAUAAGUAUCGUACUUCUUACAAAAAUUAGAUUUAUUAGUCAAAAUGACUACACGUUUGGCUUUUCUAGAACGAAUUUGAUAAUUUUCUGCUUCAUUUUUUCCCUCCCGUUGUUCCAAUUCGUCAAUAAAUUUGUAUGACCAUCGAGGAACUUUUUUACGGAUUUUGUUUAUUCUAAUACACUUUGUUCUAUUUCCAUUUACUAUUGUUUUUUCAUUCAAAUCAGUUCUAAUUGCAUCAAAUAACUUUGGCGACUUACCCAUUCAAUGACUUUGGCACCGGACGUUCCCAAACUGGAAUGUGUAUUAUCGAUAUAGGGGAUCUUUCAAUUGAGAAGAUCCAUCGACCUUAGACGAAGAGAAAGAAAGGUCUAUCUAUUUUUUUGUUUUAGUUAUUCAGUUAAACCAAUGAUUCGUUAUUGGAGCAGAUAGCAACAACCAUCUCAUCUGGGAAAAGCCAUCUUUUUCUCAACAAUGUCUUUGUCAUUUGAUCCAAUAGCGCUUCGUUAGAUAGGAACAAAUUUGAUAAAUAUUGAUAACUCUCAGAUAGAGUAUUAGAACGGAAAAAUCCAUUAGAUAAUGAACUAUUGAUUCUAAGCCAUCUUUGACAAUGAAUCAACAAUUCAAAAUGAUUUUCUUGCGUAUUCUUGAUAAACCAGUGUUUAUAUAUAGAUGUAGGAAGAUCUGUUUGGGAAGUAGUAAGAAGUUCCCUUGACAUCUCUUCAUCUGUGAAGAAUUGUCGAUGUGAAAACACAGAGACAAAAGGGUGAUCUUUGAAUAGGAAAAAGAGUGGAUCCGCGGGGUCCCAAAUGAAUUGGCUUAUUCGAAAAAAGCCUUGUUCUUUGGAAGAUCUAUCUCGUGUCUGGUACUGCAUGGUUCCACCCUGCAAGAACUCUGAAUCAUUCUCUUGAAGCUCAUCCUCUUCAUCAUAAAUGAUCCGCUUGUCCCGAAAUGACCUGGCCCAAUAGGGAAAUCCCAAUUCAUUGGGCCUUUCAAUACAAUAAAAUAGAAAGCCCCAAGGGCUCCAUAUUCUAAGAGCCCAAACGAUGUGAUUGAAAAAAUCCUCCUCUAUCUGUUGUGGGUCGAGGACUCCCCCCCCCCCUUCUUCAAACUCCGAUUCAUAUUUUUCAUAGAGAAAUCUUUGAUCAACGAUAGAAUAAGAUCCAUUUUGAAUCAUAUUUAAGAGAUUCCUUGGUUCGGACCGAAGAAGCAAUGUCACUCGAUCCUUAUCAAACUGACUGCAAUCUUUUUCUAUAUGUGAGGAUCCCACCAGAGCGCCUUCUACUUCUAAUAGGCCAUGAACUAGAUCAGAAUUAUUCUCAACGAGUCCAUAAGAUGUGAUCCCAUUUUUUUCAUCAGGUCCGGGUAGAGACCAAAGGUCUUGAGCGACCGAUCCGGCAGAACAACUCAAAGGGUAAAGAAGUAUCGUAAAUUUCUUCAUACUCGUUCCAAGUUCGAAGUACCAUUUGUACAAAUAAGAAUCCCCCCCCCCCCCCGUCACAUGAUUUCUUCUUCAUAUUGGUCAAUGAAAAUAACAAUAUAUUUCAUAUUUCAUAGAGUUUACAUCUAAUCAGAACGUAACACGUGACAGUCAUCAUCCAAUAGUAACGUGACAUGUGACAAUCAACGUCACUGGCUCACGGUCAACAUUCAAUUGUGGCAUGAGGGACCAACAUUGCACGAUUUUACUAAAUAAGAGAGUCAAAUUCAUGAAUUAAAAAAUUGGGAGACCAAAUCCGAAUAGGAAAUAAAAUGGGAGACCAAUUUUAUAAUUUUGCCUUUUUUUAACAACUUUUUUAAUUAAAAUAUAAAAGAAAUUUAAUUUAUGCUAUAAAUCAUUGAGUUUUAAAAAUAUAAUAAGUUUAAUUAUGUGUUUUAAGUGUAAUUAAGAGUUGCACUUUUGAUACAAGUGGACGGGAGUUACUAUAGACCUCAUGUAAAUUGUUAUAGAUUCCUAACUAUCAAAGUGGUUAAGAAUUUUUUAUUUAUUUUAGAAUUACUCUCAUUGAAUAAAAUAUACAUGAUAAUUCCAUUAUAUAUUAUUUUUCACAUCCUUUUGUUGCAAGAGAAGCGUGAUUCUAUUAUUAUAUUUUUUGGCACCUCCAUUAAUAUAGUCAUUCCUCUUAAUUUAUGUUUUUUCUUUUACAUUGACAAGGUUCUAACUUUAGAACUAUUAUUGGUUAAACAAAAUAAUACCCAAGCCAAUUAAUUCAAGCACUUGACGCUAGUAAUCAUUAAUUUUACUAAUAAUUUUUUUUCAAAAAAAAUUAUUAGUCACAUAAGAUGCUCUUACAAAAAAUAAUACAGUAGUGACAUUUUACUAAAGAUUUUAGUUUAUAUAUUCAUAAAAAUAUAAUAAUAAUAUUUAUUUAUAUUUGUUGAUAUUUUUUAAAUGUUACUAAAAGUUUUUAGUAAUAUUUUACUAAAUGUUAAAUAGAAAAUAUUACUAAUUGUCACUGUGUAGUAGUGAAUUAUAUUUUAGAUUAUUAAAAUUAACAGUAUAACUUAUAAAAUUAAUUAUUAUGAUUAUAAAUAAAGUAUUACAUAUUUAAAAUAUAUUUUGAUUAUUAUUUUAGCAAAUUAGUAUUCUAAAAUAAUAAUUACAAAUGAUAUACGUAUAUAUAAGUAAAAUCAAAUUAAACACAAAUAUUAAUGUAGUAUUUAGUUAGUGUUAUUAAUCAUAUUUAUAUAAAUAUUUAAAUAAUCUAGCAUUUUUCUUAUAUAAUAUUCAUUAUUAUAUUUGUUAAAAUCAUACAUGAUAAAUUUUAAUAAUAUUAUUAAAUAUAAUAUGUUGAUUGAAUUUAAUAAAUAUAAUGUUAAUAUAUGGAUAAUAGGCAUUCAAAUUUUUAAAUGAAUUUAUUUAUAUAAAAGUUAUUAUUAAAUAAAAUGAAAUUACUAAAAUAUACAUUUUAAAGAAUAUUUGUUUAGUAAGAUGUGUUAAUCCUAAAUGUUUAUAUGNNNNNNNNNNNNNNNNNNNNNNNNNNNNNNNNNNNNNNNNNNNNNNNNNNNNNNNNNNNNNNNNNNNNNNNNNNNNNNNNNNNNNNNNNNNNNNNNNNNNUACUAAAAUAUACAUUUAAAGAAUAUUGUUUAGUAAGAUGUGUUAAUCCUAAAUGUUUAUAUGUAGGAAAACGAUUUAUUUAGUAGAGAAACUCAUAUUUAAUUUUUUUAUGUGUAAAAUUUUUUAUUUCAAUGAUAGAUAUGGAUAAUGAAUAAAAUUAAUCUUUGGAUUAGUAGUUGGAAGAAAUCCAUAUUCUUUGAACCGAUAAAAAAAAAAGUAUAUUAAAUUAUAUAUUUUAUCAUAAGGGAUGAGGAGCAAAAGUGAGUUUUUUUUCUUAAAUACACCUUUUCUUUUUUGUUUUUUUUUUAAUCUAUACUACUUUAUAAUUUAAUUUCCAAUAUACAUUACUUACUUGAUACUUUCUCUCUCCUUUUUGUUUUUUAAUUUAAAAUAUUAUAAAAUAUAAAUAUUAUAUUAUAUAAUUUUUUAAUUGGUUUUAAAAUUACUUAUUUAUUAAAUUAAAUUAUAUAUAUAUAUAUAUUUUAAUUUUUUUAAAGAAAAUGAUAUUAUUAAAUAUAAUUAUUUUUGUUUUAUUAUUUAAUUUACUUAACAUAUUUUUUAGGUGAAUAUUUUUAUUUAAAAUCUGAAUUUUAUAAUAUAAGUAUUUUUAAUAUAAUUAUAUUAUUAAAUAUAAUUAGUUUGUUUAUGUCAUUAGAUUUAAUUAAAAAAUGAGAAGACUUUUUGUUUAACCGUUUAUUCAUAGAAGACCAUUAUAUUGUAUUAUCAUACUUAAACAAUUACAUUUGGUUAAGGAAAAAUUAAAGAUAGAGAUAUGUUAGGACAAUUGUUUCUGUUAUAAGCAUAUUGUUGUUGUAAAAUUCAUAUUUUUUUUCUACUUUCUCGUUCGUUCAAAGUUAAAAUGGGACUAUCCUCUAUCGUCCUCUUUCUUUUAUUUUUCAUAUUUUAAUCUUUUGAAGUCAUAGAUAAUAAAAAUAUUUAUUUUUCAUAUUUAUUUAAUAGUUAUCUUUGACUUAAAUGAUAAGAAAAAUAAAAGAAAGAGGACGGCAAAGGAUAGUCCCGUUUUAAAAUGAAUUUAUUUAUAUAAAAAUUAUUAUUAAAUAAAAUGCAAUUACUAAAAUAUACAUUUUAAAGAAUAUUUGUUUAAUAAGAUGUGUUAAUCUUAAAUGUUUAUAUGUAGGAGAAUGAUUUAUUUAAUAAAAAUUCAUAUUUGAUUUUUUUAUGUGUAAAUUUUUUUGUUUCAAUGACAGACAUGGAUAAUGAAUAAAAUUAAUCUUUGGAUUAGCAGUUAGAAGAAAUCCAUAUUCUUUGAACCGAUAAAAAAAUAUGUAUUAAAUUAUAAAUUUUAUCAUAAGGGAUGAGGAGUAAAAGUGAGUUUUUUUUUUUUUGUAAAUACACCUUUUUCCUCUUUUUUUUUUCAAUCUACACUACUUUAUAAUUUAAUUCCUAAUAUAUAUUACUUACUUCAUACUUUCUCUCUCCUUUUUUUUUAUUUAAAAUAUUAUAAAAUUUAAAUAUUAUAUUAUAUAAUUUUUUAAUUGGUUUUAAAAUUACUUAUUUAUUAAAUUAAAUUAAAUAUAUAUUUUUAAUUUUUUUAAAAGAAAAUGAUAUUAUUAAAUAUAAUUAUUUUUGUUUUAUAAUUUAAUUUACUUAACAUAUUUUUUAGGUGAAUAUUUUUAUUUAAAAUCUGAAUUUUUUAAUAUAAUUAUUUUUAAUAUAAUUAUAUUAUUAAAUAUAAUUAAUUUGUCUAUGUCAUUAGAUUUAAUUAAAAAAUGAGAAAACCCAAGAUUGAAUAGUUUAUUCAUAGAAGAAUAUUAUAUUACAUUAUCAUACUUAAACAAUUACAUUUGACUAAGGAAAAAUUAAAGAUGAAAAUAUGUUAGAAUAAUUGUUUCUGUUAUAAUCAUGUUAAUGUAAAAUUCACAUUUUUUUCUACUUUCUUUUUCAGAGUUAAAAUCGGACUAUCCUUUGCCAUCUUUUUUUUAUUUAUUUUAAUCUUUUACAAGACAUAAAUAAUAAAAAUAUCAAUUCUUAUCACUUAAGUCAAAGAUAACUGUUAGAUAAAUAUUUUUAAAGAUAUUCUUAAUAUAUUUUUAAAGAUAUCUUCAAUAUAACCGUUAUUACUCUUUGAAAUUUUAUGUCUAUGGUAUAAGAUACAUAUAUCAAUUAUUUUUUUACUGUGUUUUUUAGUUUAAUUUAAUAUUACUAACUAAUUUUUUUAUUUUUUUAAUUAACGAACAUAACAAAAAAAAUAUCAACAGCGCAUAAAUUUAAUUACAAAAGUACAUAUAAACUAACUAAAAAAUUGUAAUAUAAUUUUAUUAAAUUUUUUUUAUUUUUCUUUAUCUGUAUAUUUUUCUUUAAAAAAAUAAAACACAAAAUUAUAAAAUUUAAUUUAAUAAAUAAGUAAUUUUAAAACCAAUUAAAAAAAUUAUAUAAUAUAAUAUUUAUAUAAUAAUAUUUUAAAUUAAAAAAACAAAAAAAGAGAGAAAAACUCCCAAGUAAUGUAUAUUAGUAAAAAGUAAGAAAAAAAGGUAUAUUUACUGGAAAAAAACCCGCACAAAGUGGAAUACUUAGACGAUCUCUUAAAAGAGAAUAGUAUAAUAUAUUUUAUAUUUUACAUAAGUUGGGAGAAUGAAGUAUAAUACCUGCCUUUUUAAGGGAAAAGAGAGUGUAAUUUCCUCUCGAAGAAUAUGAUACCAUUUAUGAAGUCAAUGCAAGUCUUGACUGGUUGUCUUGCAUGAUGCAUACGUUGCUAAAUUUCAAACUUCUUACGACCCGCAUAUAAAAAAACCCAAGCAUGUCCACUCCAUCCAGGAACAGCCCUAAUAAGUAAUAACCCUUAGGGAGGGUUACAUGAUCACGAUUUGAUUUGAUAUGCUUCUAGACUAAUAGAUUUUGAGUUAUUUACAAUACUACCCCUUCCAUUCCAUUUUGAGGAGUCAAAAUCAGAUUUCAAAUGCCCCUUCCAUUCCAUUUUGAGUUAUUUACAAUACUACCCUACUACCACCGUUGACUGCACUAGCCAUCAACACGGUGAGACUGACUUUACUUAUGGCCCAUUCGGUAUUUUUCUAUUUGCUCUGCUGAGCUCACACGCUUGCUAAAAUCAUAUAAAAAAACAAAACAUGAACAGUGAUUCAUAUAAAAAAAAAAUAAACAUGAACCAUGCUCAUGUUGUGAUAAUAUAAAGUGGACAGUGGUCCCGAUUAGAGUACCAAAUUCCUUCGUAUUUUAAUUUUUGUUUUGUUGGUGGAUUUGUAUUUUUUAUUGACGAUGAUUAGAGAUUUAACGCGUAUUUAGAUUAAUGAUUUAUUUUAUGAAAAUGAAUCUUUUUUUAAAUAAAAAAAAAAUUUGAACCGACUAUAGAUAAAGUAUUUAAUUUGAGGUGACUUCUUAUAGGAUUAUGCAUAUCCUGAAAAUAGAGAGACGACAUAUUUUCAUGGGAAUGCGAUAAGCGUUGGCGUUGUCUAAUGUAUAUAAAAAGCUUUAAAAACUGAAAGAUGGGGAUAGGUUACGCUACGCAUUUCCAUCCCCAUGUUAAUGUCAUUGUCACAUGCCAUUACCUGCCUGCGCAAGCGUCAAGCUUAAAAAUUAAAAUGUAUGUUUGCCUAAAACGUAAAUAGAGUUGGUGAUUAAUAUAUGUUUAACUAACUGAUUGGACGAUUCUUCCUUUUUGUUUAAUGGAAUUUAUAUAGUAAGAAGUCUUGUUAGAUAGAAUUUUUUUCCAAUCAAUUUUUUUAUUGUUAAUAUGAUAAAUAAGUACUACUACUAUAAAGAGUAUUACAUACUUAAUCGUUGAUCAUGAAAUAUUGUUGGUUGAAUUUUGUGAAUUGUGUAAAAGUAAGAUAUUUUAAAUUCGAGAGUCUAAGAGUUUUAUAAAAUUUUCUUUGAUGGAAAAAAAUAUAAAUAAAAAAUCCUAAUGAAUUAAACUGGGUUCAUAAAUUUAAGAAAUAGGGAGAAUUUUUUAUUUCUCUCAAUAUUUUUUCAAUGUUUAAUGUGUUUAAAUUAAGAUUGAAUAGUUGGAUAUUAAUGUAAAACAGCAAACACGUUAGAGUAAAAUAUCCUUUUGUACUUCAUUCACGCUCUAUCAUCCUAUUUAGUUAAAGUACUAUGAGGCAAGGGUUGAAAUUAAUAUAUAAUUUAAUUAAUUUAUUAAAACGACUCAUACAAAUUUUUUUAAUGUUAUAUCAUUGCAUGCAUUAGAUUUUACUAAAAGCAAAUUUAGUCUUCUUAAUUUUUUUGUUAACAUUAUUAAUUAAUUUUUUCAAAUAAUUAUAAAAUUUUAAUGUCUGUAUACACGCACAUUUUAUUAGUAGUGAAUUUUAUUAUAAUUAAAUUAAUAAUAGAUUUUUACAUAUGUAUUCAUGUGAAAAGUUAUGCGCGCGUUACAUUUAUCAAAAUUAAUAAAUAUAGUAUUUAGAUUUAAUAAUAGAGGAUAUUAUGAAAAUUAAUCAUAUAUUAUUUUUCAUGACAAAUUUUUACCCAUUGCUGAAGUACUAGAUUUCCACCCUUAAUUACAAUGUACGGGUAUAAAUGAGUUCAAAAUACUCCAAUUCAAAAUUUGAGUCAACAUUUCAUUUCCAAAUUAACAUAAUAUUGUUUUCAUAAUUAAGUCACUUUAUUAGCUUAUUUAUUUUCGUGUUUUUAGUUCUACACCACUCUCUAUUUAAUGUUUGUAACCUAAAAAAUUAUCUAUUUAAAGUGAGUUUUUUUUAUCGGCAAUAUUAAGACAAAAUCAAAACCGCGAUUUUUAUCAUGGUUCCUUUCUCUCUUCCCUUCUAUUUAAGGUGGGUAUGCUUAGUAAUUAUAGAACAUAAAGCAAACAUAUACUAUUUAGUGGGUUAAAGUUGUUAUUUUUUAUUUGAAAAGAAAAAAGCAAUUACUAAUAAUAAGUAAUGUAUAUACAUCUUUCAAUUGGACAAACAUUAAAUUAAACUUAAAGUGAAUUACUUAUGCACUUUAAUUUCAAGAAAUUAAGCUCAAUUUCAAUGAAAUUUAAUAAUUUGAUACUUUGUCUUUUUAAGAGAAAAUUAACGUCCAGUAUACUGACACAAACCUGAGUUGCAAAUUAAGUUAUAAAAACUUUAUUUUCGAUGGGUACUUUAAAAAAAAACAGGUGAAAUAUAUACCGUAGUAUGACUUCAAGAAUAUGUAUAAUAGUUAAAUCGAUACCAAGGUUAGGUAGAUUUCUUGUGAAUGAAUCCUGCAAACAUAUCAUUAUCAACGCGAGUCGUGUUAGAAUAGCCUCAAAAUUCAAUCAUCCACUUGAAAAUUUGACCACUAAGACAAAUUCUCACUUCUCUGUGUAUUUUUUUUUCCUAACCUAACAUUUUUUCCUAAUCUAACAUGAUGUUAGAAUAUGUAACGCGAAUAAUAUUAAAGAUGAUUAAAAUAAAUAAAUACAUAAAUAUGUAAAAGCAUACAUAUUAUUACAUCAGAAGUUUUAUAGGAGUACAUAGUAUACAACAAUAUACAUAUUGGAUCAAGCUCCAUGCGUCCUUAAUUUGCACGGUUAAAAGUUUACAAUGUGAAAAGGAUUCAUACCUUGUAAUAUAAUAAAGAAUAAAUAACACAAAAUAUAUAAGGAAAAACAUACAAAGUAUAUAAAUUAACAAAUAUUAUAUUAAUUUUUUAAAAAAUAAUUCUUCAUAGAAAGUUAAUUUUUAUAUUUAAAUAAUUUAAUUUUUCUUCAUUACACUUGAAAUGAAUGCAAAUAACUUCCGAUCCUAAACAAAGAUUAAAUAUAAGAUGUAACGUGAAUAAUAUUAAAGAUGAUUAAAGAAAAUAAAUAUGUAAAAGUAUACAUUAUUACAUGGAAUUGAGCAAAUUAAAGCAAUCUAAAUAUUUUUCACUAAUCAGUAAAAUGGUACUUAAACUGAAGUUCUGUAAUGCAAAGAAUUAUUCAUUUUAAAUCCACACUUAAAUCAGUUUUCCUUGUAAGGUAGUGCAUGCAAUUCAAAUAUUAUAGAAUGCUCCAAUCAUAUAAGAUUGCUUCAAUCAUAAGGUGAUCAGUCAAUGUCCCUCUGUUUUGCGAGAAUACUCCAAUCAUAUAAGAUUAAUAUAGACUUAAAUAAACACUCAAAUCGAGUGUAUUUACCCCCAAUGCUUAGAUUCCGAAGAAUUUAUUAAGGUCUUACCUUUCUGAUUCAGGUCCAACCCCUAAAAUAAAUUUUACAUGCAAAUACUACUCAUGAAUUAUGCAAUAUCCAGGGUCUCACACUUAUUUUCAAAAUACAUUUAACACAAUGCAUUACAAUUUAACUCCUCAGGUUCUUAACUUGGAACCGUACACUCUUCCUUUAACACCUCACGCAUUGCACUACAAUUUAACACCUCAAGUUCCUAACUUGAAAUCUCUAUACUUUCCUUUUAACACCCUUCACAUUACACUACAAUUUAACAUAUCAGGUUUCUAACUUGAAACCCUACACUUUUCUUUUAAAAUCUCGCGCAUAAAUAUUUUUCUCAAGGUAAUCACCAAUUAGGUGAUUGUAUAAUCCACAACUCAAAACACUACUAAUAUCACAUUAAGUAUUAAUCACACUUAUUCAGAAGCUAAUAGGCCAAUUAUAUUAUAAAAUAAUUAAUGUCGCUAUAUAUAACACUAAAAUUUAUAAUGUAUAUUUAAUGCAUAUAUAAAUUUAAAUAACAAAUUUAGUGACAAUUAAAUUUGAUCUAAUAGUUAAUUUAUUUACAUAUAUGAAUUAUUGUUGUGACACCCUCUACCCCUCACAUAUAUACUAAUAAGGAAUAAAAAAAAUCAAAUAUUAAUUAAAAGUAUUUUUUUAUAACAUUUUUUUUACAAGUCUUUCAAAGGGGAAAAAGGCUCACAUUCAUUUUCUUCUACAUAUUUAAACUUGUCCAAAUAAAUAAUAAAGUAUUCUCGACUCAAACAAGGUCGUCUAAGCUUCAUACAAUUAAUAUAGAACCUAUAUCUUAAUGUCACAUCCUAUCAAAGCGUUGUGUUCUCGUGUCCUCUAGCAUGAGGUUCUUCAUAGUCAUCCACCUAUUCAUAUUCUCCCCCGAACACAAGUUCAAGAUCAUCACAGGAUCCAAACACAACAACACACAGGGAGUGAGUUAUCACAUUCCUAGCUAAUAGAGAAACAAGACAAUUAAAUAUACAUAUUAUAUAAAUGAGAUACCACUUGCUUAAACAUAGCUCACGUAAUUUCACCACUUCGUCAUUCAAAAUUCAUUUUUCAAUUAUCAAUCACAUUACACAAGAAUCUCACACUUCGAUCAAGAUAUAAUAACACAUCAAUUAGCAAGCAUAUGCAAUAGUUAUGCUAAGACUCAAUCUUAUAUGCAAUGUGGUACCAUGUCAGUGAAAAAUCACCCUAGGGCGCUUAGGAGUACAUAACAAGACACACCACACAAUGAGUUUGUCAGGUUACUCUCACUAAGUAAGAUCAUAGGGAGACCAGUCAGGGUCACGAUGUUUUGCAAGAAUGCUCCAACCAUAUGGGAUCAGCAUAGACUUAAAGGAGCACUCAAACCCGGUGACCCCCAAGGCCUACACUCUGAAGAGUCCGUUAGGGCCUCUCCCUCCUGAUUCAGGUCCAACCCCUAAAAUAAUUUUUUUCAUGCAGACAUUGCUCAUGAAUUAUACAAUACCCACGACCUUACACUCGUGUUUUAAACACGUUCAACACAAUUGCGCCACGAUUUAACACUGGUUCCUAAAUAGGAGACCUACAUUUUCUCUUUAACACUGUGCAUCAACGCUUUUCUCAAGAUAACGCUGGUCGGGUUAUUGUACAAUUCAUAGCUUACAACACAAGUAAUUUCACAUCAAGUGUUAACUAUACACUUAUCUACAACUAGAACUCAUUCACAAUUUCACAUCUCAUAGUAUCACAAUCCACCAUCACAUGUUUACACGUAUCUCACAAAUUAACACAUGUUGAACUUUACACUUAUACUCAAUCUCAAUAACAAUAUUAUAAUCUCAAAGCAACAUGUUAUUCUACAAUUCAUCACAUACUCACAAUUUGAAUCAUCAUUUCAUAUCAUCAAUAUAACAAUUUAUAUAAAAGACUAUCACAACAUGAGGACUAAAACCCCUCAAAUAAUACUAUACAAUUAUAUCAAAAUCAUAGGUCGAAAUAUACAAAUACCAAGAGCACAAUUUAUCAAGCAAUUUUCAUUAGGACAUCAAUAUUUUAUUUAUAAUCAUAAAGGAAAAGUUGCAAUUUAAUAAACAUCCCAAAAUAAAACUCUAAUUUAAUCCUCUAAGGAUCCCUACACAUGUUCAUUCUAACCCCCAAUUGUGAUAAACUCAUCCCUUACCUCUAAGCGGAUUCACGUGUCUUCCCAUAGCGAUAGCGUCAUCUCUAGGGGUUCCCUAAGAUUUCUCCAAUUUUUCCUCCAAUUGCUCCGAUAGAGUACCAAACGUCAGAGAAACAGAGAAGGGAUUAAAGCCUCCAUUUGGACUAUCUUCAUGCGAUUCGUUUUUCUCCCUCCAAGAACAUUAUCUCGUAAAUCCCAACGGUCAAAGCGUGCAAAAUUGAAUUUCGAACAACAUAUCCAAAUUUCAUGACAAUCCAACGGUUAACGAAACCGGGAUCGUAGUUUUACCAAGACAACUCUGGAUUUCUGCGAGAAAGAAAAAUGCUACAAUGCGAGGGGUAUCUUAGCUCAGACGUGAUAUCAAAAUUCGCAACGGUGAGAAUUCUCGGAAAUGGGUUGCGAACAUGCUGUUUAAAUUUCACGACGACCCAACGGUGAAUGAAUCCGAGAUCGUCAUUUUUCUGAGACAGGUUUGGUGGCCUGCGGGAAAAAGAGAGGGUUUUGGAAAGAGAAGGAGAAAAACGAAAAUGAGGGAAAGAAGAGGCACCAUCAGUGUGAAAACUGACCUAACGUUAUUUAUAACUAGGUUUACUCUAUUUAUUUAUUUAUUAUUUUAUAAAAACAAACUUUAUUUUAUUCUCUAUCAAACAAAUAAAUAAAAUACCCUUUUUAUUUUCUCUCAAAUAAUUAUUUUAAUUAAUAAUUAUAUUUCCUUAUUUAUUUAUUUAUAAAAUCUCAUCAUUUUUUUUAAAAAUCUAUUUAUUUAUAAAUAAUAAUCCUUUUUAAUCUAAUUUACGAAAAUUGAGAUGUUACAAUUAUAAAUAAAACCUAUGAUUUUUAUUUAAAAUUUAUAUAUAUAUAUAUAUAUAUAUAUAUAUAUAUAUAUAAAUAUAUAAAUACAUUAGUAUAUUUAUGUUAAUCAUGUAUUUUUUACAUAUAUAAAAUUUUAUUAAACCUACGGUUUUUAUUUACAAUUUAUAUAUGUAAAUAAAUUAGUUAUUAGAUCAAAAUUAAUUAUCACAAAAUUUAUUAUGUAAAUUUACAUGUAUUCACAAACUAAUAGGCCAAUUAUGUUAUAAAAUAAUUAAUGUCGCUAUAUAUAACACUAAAAUUUAUAAUGUCGCUAUAUUCACAAGCUAAUAUCACAUUAAGUAUUAACCACACACUUAUUCAAAAGCUAAUAGGGCAAUUAUAUUAUAAAAUAAUUAAUGUCGCUAUAUAUAACACUAAAAUUUAUAAUAUAUAUUUAAUGCAUAUAUAAAUUUAAAUAAUAAAUUUAGUGACAAUUAAAUUUGAUCUAAUAAUUAAUUUAUUUACAUAUAUGAAUUAUUGUAAAUAAAACCUAUGAUUUUUAUUUAUAAUAUAUAUAUAUAUAUAUAUAUAUAUAUAUAUAUAUAUAUAUAUAUAUACAUUAGUAUAUUUAUGUUAAUAAUGUAGUUUUUUACAUAUAUAAAAUUAUAUUAAACCUACGGUUUUUAUUUACAAUUUAUAUAUGUAAAUAAAUUAAUUAUUAUAUCAAAAUUAAUUAUCAUGUAAAUUAAUUUACAUGUGCAUUAAAUAUACAUUAAAAGUUUUAAUGUUAUAUAUAACGACAUUAAUUAUUUUAUAACAUAAUUGACUUAUUAACUCAGUUCGUUAGAGUGUUGUACUAAUAUCGUGAAAGUCACAGGUUUAAUUUCUGCCUAGACAAUUAAUUUUAAAUUAAUUUGUAAAAUAUAUCUUUUAAAAAAUUAAUAAAAAAAUUGUAUGAACCACUUACGGAUUGAGUAAUCUAUAAGUCAAUUAUGAAUUUGUAAUUGAUUUAUGAAUUGUGAAUCCGUAAACCAAUUACGGAAAGACAAUAUGGGAAUUACAAAUAUUGUGCUGGGUGUACCAGAAAAACAAAUGGGGCGCGUAGCAAUUCUGAAACCAAUAAUGUUUUGGGGAAUUGCUAGGGGCACCCAGCAAGAUUGCUGGUGCACCCAACAAUUUUUUAGAAUUCCCAAAAUACCCCUUAACGUUUCCGUGGAAGAACCUUCUUCCGCAGUCAAUGUUACAACUGUGGAAGAACCUUCUUCCGUGCCAUCUCACGGAAGAACUUCUUCCGGAGGAAGCCACAGAAGAAGGUUCUUUCGUAGUUAUAAAUUACAACUACGGAAGAACCUUCUUCCGUGAGUUCUUACGGAAGAACUUAUUCCAUGAGUUAAUUUAUUUUCUCGGUUUUAAAAUUUUUGAAUUAUUUUGUAUUAGCCUAUGUUAUUUUUUAUUCGAGUUAUUAUUACAAAAUUUAGUGCAUUUUUAAUUUGGGUUAUUAUUAAAAAAUAAAAAAUAUUUAUUUAAUAUAUAUUAAAUUUUGUAAUAGUAAAAAAUUUGUGAUAGUAAAUAUUUUUUAUUUUUAAAUAAAUAUACGGAUUAAAUAUGUUUUAUUUAAUCUGGGUUACUAUUAUAAAACUUAAUGUAUACUUAAUUUGGAUUACUAUUACAAAAUUUAAUACAUUAAAUAUUUUUGUAAUAGUAACCUGAAUUAAUGCACUAAAUAUUUUUUAUUUAAUUCGGAUUACUAUUAUAAAAUUUAAUGCAUGAAAUAUUUUUGUAAUAGUAACCAGAAUUAAAUAUGCAUUAAAUAUUUUUAUUUAAUUCGGAUUGCUAUUACAAAAUUUAGUGCAUAUUUAAUUCGGGUUAUUAUUACAAAAUAAAAAAUAUUUAUUUAAUAUAUAUUAAAUUUGUAAUAGUAAAAAAAUUUGUGAUAGUUAAUAUUUUUUUAUUUUUAACUCACGGAAGAAACUUUUUUCCGCAGUUAAAGUCGCGUUUUUUAAACAAGGGCAGUUUUGUCCAUUCACAUAAUUUCUGGGUGCACCAACAAUUUUGUUGGGUGCACCUAGCAACUCCCAUGUUGUGUGUUGGACUUUUAUGGACUUUCUUAUAUUUAGGGUUUUUUAAUUGUAAUCCAUAGGCCUAGUAUAUCAACACACUUUCGUAUGAACUAGGGUUAUCAGAAAUUAAAUGUAGAAGCAGUAUUCUUUAAGCUUUCCUUUAUCGUCCACUUGCAAUUUAUCUUUCUUAGUCUAGUUAGCAGCAGAGUCUAUCAAUCUAAAUGUGAAAUGCUAUUCAGUUAUCUAAGACUGGACCACUUUAGAAGAUAAGAACGAAACAUCGUAGUCCUAAAAAUGCAUUAUUAUGGCGUCAUAUGUAAAGGUGAUUCUCACAAAAUAUUUCUCAUGCUGGUGUUGGUCAGCAUAACACAUUUUAUCUUUAAGCUUUCCUUUAUCGUUCCCUUGCAAUUUAUUUUUAGCAGCAGAAUCUAUCAAUCUAAAUGUGAAAUGCUAUUCAGUUAUCUAAGACUGAACCACUUUAGGAGAUAAGAACGAAACAUCGUAAUUCUAAAAAUGCAUUAUUAUGGCGUCAUAUGUAAAGGUGAUUCUCACAAAAUGUUUCUCAUGCUGGUGUUGGUCAGCAUAACACAUUUUUCUUCUAGAACACAGGAUAUCUAGGCAAUUCUAUCAUGAGCAUAAUGCUUUACGUAAAACAGCCAAUCAAAAACUCAAGAUAAAAUUGAAAUAAUUUCAGUUCAAGCUUCCUUCUAAGUAAUUCAUGCAUUUUCCUUUUCUUUGCUGACUUGUCGUUAAUUUUAAAUUAAUUGAAGGAAAGGGAACAAUUGAUUUGAAUUAUUAUAUUUUCUGAAGCAAAAAAUAACACUAUAUUAGUUUCCUUUAUUUUAAUAGGAAAAAAAUAAAGCUUACAAAUGUUAUCAUUGAUUUGGUUAAGGUAUCUAAAGUUCGGAAACCAAAAAACUAAAAUAAAAUGAUCUACAAUAUAAAAAAAAAAGAUACAAUACAACACUAGAAAAGAACAAUUAAAACUCAAGCAUGUUUAUUAAGUUCAAUCUUUCAGCUAUAUAUAAGUGAGAAUGUAGAGCUAAUCCAUUGAAGAUGAGCUUGACAUUACCAGCUCAUUGGCAACCUGCUCCAUGGUAGGGCGAGAUCGUGGACUUUCAGUCAAGCAGGCCAUUGCUAUCUUUGCAAUUGAUGCCACUUCCUUACCAAUUGGCUUUGUUGGAUGAGGGAGACGUGGGUCCAACUUAUCCAUCAAUGCCAUGUGAUCGAGUGUUGAGGCCACAAGGGUAGAUGGAGAUGAUCCCAAUAAAGAAGAUAUAUCAUCACCAGGGUGCUUCCCAACAAGUAUUUCCCAUGCUAGGACCCCAAAACUAUACACGUCACAUUUCUCAUUCACCUCCAUUGUGUAUGCAAGUUCUGUAACAAAAUAAAAGUGCUAUCACACGCAAAAUAGGAUUCUAGUGACAAAGGCAAAAUGUGGACAAUUGUGACUAAGAAAGGCAAACUAAAAAAUAUGAUAUCCUCAAUUUAGUAUAAAGAAAGGUAAUUAACCUGGAGCAGCAUAUCCAAAGGUUCCUACGAAUGAGGUCCAAUUGGAUGAAUCUGGAUUAAGAAACUUGGCUGUUCCAAAGUCUGAGACAUGAGCUACAUAUUCGGAAUCCAAAAGAACAUUCUUGCUUGAUAUAUCACGAUGAACAAUUCGAGGUGAGCAUUCAUGGUGCAUAUAGCACAAAGCAUUUGCUACAUCUUUAACAACAUUCACCCUCUUAUACCAAUCAAAUGCCAUUGCUUGUCCAUCAUCCUUCAGAGUCUUCUCAACACUGCCAUUCUCCAGGAAUUCACACACCAAAAAUGAGAAUUGUGAAUGUGAACAAAACCCAUAUAACUUUACAAUGUUACGAUGUCGAAUUUCUGUCAAAGCUUGGAUCUCACAUGUGAAAGCUUUCAGAUUGAGCAUCUCUCCAUUUGGAACUGAAUGGAGUUUCUUCACAGCAACAACUUGACCUGUAGGCAGCACUGCUUUGUAAACACAUCCUUGCCCUCCAACACCAAUGAGAUGUUUGUCGUCAAAAUCUUCUGUGGCUUCAAUAAUAUUCUCGAAUACCAUUUUGCCAUCAAAACUCCAUAUUGCAAAUAUGUUAGGAGUUUGUAUACUUGUAGCCUGGUCUUCUUUGUUCGUUGAGGUUUGGCAUAAAUGAUACCAGACUCCGAAAGCAAAUAAUGCCAGUAUUAGAAUGCCCAAAGUAAGGGGUAAAAUUACUAUCAUUACUUUCUUCCUCAUAUGAUUAUGAGAUUUCCCACUUGAUGUUGAGCAAGGCUCCAAGCCAGUGACAUUGCCACACAAGCCUUUAUUAUUUCUCAAUGCUUCAAUUUUAGCAUUGUGGAAGGCUAGAAUGUUUGGAAGUGGACCCUCAAACUGGUUGUAUGAUAUAUCAAUAGAUGUCAAGCUCGUCAUAUCAUCGAAGCUAGAGAGAUUACCUGAAAGAUUAUUGUGAGAGAGAUUCAGUGUUUCUAAGCUUUUUAAUUCUCCAAACAUUGAAGGUAUUGUUCCUCUCAAUGAAUUUCCACCAAGAUCAAGACUCGUAAGAGAUUUCAGUUUGCCAAGCUCUGAAGGAAUAUUUCCCUGAAAAUUAUUUUGGCUCAGACUCAUGUUCCAUAAAUUGAGCAAAUUUCCUAGUUGUUUUGGGAUUAAGCCAGACAACUUAUUUGAUCCAAGCUUCAAAAUUUGAAGUUUCUGCAUUGAUGCUAUUUCUUUGGGAACAUUUCCUGUAAGAUUAUUGUUGUCGAGUGAGAGAUCAAACAAGGGCAAGUUACAUAAAUCAUGUGGAAUGUUUCCUGUAAGAUGGUUUGAAGACAGCUGAAGUCGUUGUAAUUUGGUUGCCCCAGCUAGCUCUGGUGGUAUCACACCUGAUAAAUUAUUGUUGGAGAUCCUGAGGCUUGUGAGGCUACGAAACUUUCCCCAGUUAGGUGAAAGUUGACCAUAAAAGUUAUUGUCACUCAAUUCGAUGUAGUCCAAAUUUGGAAGUACACCAAAAGCAUCUGUUAUAUCCCCAGUUAGCUGGUUUCGCUGAAGCCUGACUCUUAUAAGGCUGGAGCAAUUCUUCAAACUCACUGGAAUUGGCCCUAUGAAGUUGUUAUCACCUGCGGUAAAAUUUUUCAACGUUCCACCAAUGCAAAUGUUUUGAGGUAAAUGGCCUAUAAAAUUAUUGUCAGCUAGCUGCAAACUUUCCAGAGCAGUAAGCAUGCUCAUUUCUAUUGGAAUCUUGCCACCAAGUUCAUUUCCAAUAAAAAAUAAUUCCCUGACAUUUGAUAAAUUUCCAAUAGUUGAAGGAAUUGAUCCAGUGAGUUCAUUCAAGGAUAUAGAUAAUACACUAAGCUUUGACAAAUUUCCAAUGGUGAAAGGAAUGGACCCAGAGAGUUUAUUUUCUUCAAGGAGCAAGGAGUCCAAAUGGACCAAGUUGCCUAUGGAAGCUGGGAUUGGUCCAGUGAGUUCAUUAGAGUGUAUAGAUAAUUUACUAAGCUUUGACAAAUUUCCAAUGGUGAAAGGAAUGGACCCAGAGAGUUUAUUUUUAAAAAGGCGCAUGGCUUCCAAAUUGACCAAGUUGCCUAUGGAAGCUGGGAUUGGUCCAGUUAGUUCAUUCAAGGAUAUAUAUAAUCCACUAAGCUUUGACAAAUUUCCAAUGGUGAAAGGAAUGGACCCAGAGAGUUUAUUUUCUUCAAGGAGCAAGGAGUCCAAAUGGACCAAGUUGCCUAUGGAAGCUGGGAUUGGUCCAGUGAGUUCAUUAAAGGAUAUAGAUAAUACACUAAACUUUGACAAAUUUCCAAUGAUAAAAGGAAUGGAUCCAGAGAGUUUAUUUUUAUGAAGGAUCAUGGAGUCCAAAUUGACCAAGUUGCCUAUGGAAGCUGGGAUUGGUCCAGUGAGUUCAUUAGAGUGUAUAGAUAAUUUACUAAGCUUUGACAAAUUUCCAAUGUUGAAAGGAAUGGACCCAGAGAGUUUAUUUUUAAAAAGGCGCAUGGCUUCCAAAUUGACCAAGUUGCCUAUGGAAGCUGGGAUUGGUCCAGUUAGUUCAUUCAAGGAUAUAUAUAAUCCACUAAGCUUUGACAAAUUUCCAAUGGUGAAAGGUAUGGACCCAGAGAGUUUAUUUUCAUAAAGGAGCAAGGAGUCCAUAUUGACCAAGUUGCCUAUGGAAGUUGGGAUUGGUCCAGUGAGUUCAUUAGAGUAUAUAGACAAUACACUAAGCUUUGACAAAUUUCCAAUGAUGAAAGGAAUGGACCCAGAUAGUUUAUUUUUAUGAAGGAUCAUGGAGUCCAAAUUGACCAAGUUGCCUAUGGAAGAUGGGAUUGCUCCAGAGAGGCUGUUAUCAUAAAAGGAAAGAUAAUAUAAAUUGCUCAAGUUUCCAAUUGUAGAGGGGAUUUCACCAGAGAGAAAGUUAUCAGACAAAUCAAGUCGAGCAAGUUGUUUCAAAAAACCAAUUUCAGGAGGAAUGAAGCCAGAAAGAUUAUUAUUUCCGAGAUAUAGAUUCUGGAGGUUAACCAACUUCCCAAUUUCACGAGGAAUGUGACCUAAAAGUUUGUUUUUGUGUAGCCUUAUACGUGUUAGAUUGACCAGUGCUCCAAUUUUAGAGGGGAUUUCACCAGAGAGAAAGUUAUCAGACAAAUCAAGUCGAUCAAGUUGUUUCAAAAAACCAAUUUCAGGAGGAAUGAAGCCAGAAAGAUUAUUAUUUCCGAGAUCUAGAACCUGGAGGUUAACCAACUUCCCAAUUUCAUGAGGAAUGUGACCAAAAAGUUUGUUUUCGUGUAGCAUUAUAAGUGUUAGAUUGACCAGUGCUCCAAUUGAAAUAGGAAAGGACCCAAUAAGAUUACACAUGCGUAUGUCAAGUUGUUCUAAAUUACGCAACGUCCAUAUUUCUUCGGGCAUGGAGCCAGACAAGCCACUUUUCCACAUACGUAGAAUCUUUAGGUUCCUUAACUUCCCAAUAUCACGAGGAAUAGACCCGCUGAAACUGGAUUGGCUCAUGUCAAGCCAUGUUAGAUUCCUCAGCAUCCAUAUUUCUUUGGGAAUGGAGCCAGAAAGCCCACUUUUCCAAAGCCAGAGAGUCUCGAUGCUCCUCAAAUUCACAAUUUCUUUGGGGAUGGAACCGUUGAAGUUAUUACCAGCAAAUGACAAAUGCUUUAGGUUCAUAUGCCAAAUUCUCAGCUGAAUGUUGCCAGAAAGGUUGUUGCUUUCGACAUCUAGAUGAGACAAAAUGCUUAACUUUUCUAUUGAGAUUGGGAUAGUCCCUGAGAUAUUGGACCGAGGAAUAUCAAGUAUUCUCAGAUUCAUCAAUCUACCUAUUUCUUGAGGAAGGGAUCCAGUGAAAUUAUUAUCACCUAUGCGCAAUGUAUGAAGACCAACCAAGUGUACUAUUUCAGAAGGAAUAGUACCAGAGAGAUCAUUGUCAGAAAGAUUAAGAAACAAGAGUUUGGAGAGAUUACCAAUGGUAUUGGGAAUGCUACCAAAGAGGUUAUUAGUGGACAAGUCAAGAGUGUUGAGAUUGGAUAAGGAACCAAUUUGAGGAGGAAUAGUUCCAUUCAGGGAGUUGUGACUCAUAUUUAGAGUGAGAAUGUUUGGAAGUAAUGAGAAGUUGAGAUUUUGAAGCGUACCUCUUAAUCCAACAUUUGUAAGAUUUAUGUUGGAAACAGAAUUGAACUCAUCACAUGCAAUUCCGAGCCAAAUGCAAGGAUUGUUGCCACUCCAUGAAGAGAGAGAAGCACGACUUUGGUUGUCAAGGCUGGAUUUCCACUUCAACAAAGCAUUUGCUUCUGAAGCAAUCUCAGAAGAAGCAGCAAAUGCACAGAAGUACAUCACAAGAAGCAGCAAAAGUGGUUGGAGCUUCAUGGACAGAAGCGUUGGAAAUAUGAACACCAUGAGUAAAUUUUGAGGAAGGAUUCAAUCACAGAUUGUCUGAUACAAUCAAAUGCAGGAGAAGUACUUACAAGCAAUUCAUGGGAUAUGCAUAUUUAUAUGCAAAACAUCAUGAAACACGAACCAGAGUCAAGAAAUAUUGUACUUUUCUUUCGUUGAAGUCAAGAGAUAUUUUACUGUAUCUACAUAAAUAUAUGUUACAGCUUGGUUCAAAAUAGAAAAGUUUUACACCUUUAAUCUCCAACCUUUUGCAACUGUGCUUUCGAAGCUAUCCUUUUUAUUUUAAGCUUUUGACGUUUUUUAAAAACAUAAUUCAAUAAUUAUAAUUUUUUAUAAAACAUUUAUUUUGAGUUAAAAAUAAGCCCGUGUUUUUUGGUAUAGAUUUUUUUGUCUAACAAUAGAUAUUCUUUAAUGAAAGUUAUGUUCUUCAAGUCAAAUACCAUAAUUAUGAAUAAUCAGAAGUCAAACUUGAAAUUACUACUUAAGCUUGAACAACUCACAUUAAUUGAUUCACAUAUUCACUCACUAUUUUUUUUUUUUUGGUACUAUGAACAUUAAAUCAUCAUGAUAAUUUUUUUACUAAAAAGUUGAAGAUCUUGAAUGAACUAAAAAUAUAAUCAAAAUAUAAUAUAUAACUGAAAAGUAAUCAUAAUCUUAUAAGUUGAGUUUAUAAGAUUAAGUUAAGUUUAUAUUCAAAUUGUAAGAGUAAAUUAGAAUUUUUAUUCAUUAUUUAUAUUUUAGGUUUUAAUUUAAUUAGUCCAUUAAAUUUAAAUUUUUUUACUUUAGUUUAGACCAUUAAAAUUUCUCUUUGUUAAACAAGUUUGGUGACAUGAAUAAAUUGUAAGAGAUAUCAUAUGGGCUAAAAUUGACAUUAUUAGUGUAAAAAACAAAUUUGGUCUAACCCAUGUGAUAGAUGAAAAGAAACUUUUGAAGUACAAAAUCCCAAACUAAAACUUAAAAUAUACAUAAGAAUCCAAUUUUUUUUUUUAAAAAAAAAACCUUUUUUGCUUCUCUGUCUUGGUUGAGAAUUAUUUUGGUUGCUUAUUUUUUGUGAUUUUUCCUGUCCUAAUUAUAUUUUUUAUCCAUAAAACAAAACUCAAAUGUAAGACAUUAAUUAUUUAAGGAAAUAAGAGAAAUAGCGUAAUAUCACUUAAUUCAAUAACUUAUAGGUAAGUGAAACAUUUUCUAUAUUACUUUUUUUAUAUUUUUCAUUUGUAUUUCUAUUGCAGAUUAAUUACAAUUUGAUUUCAGUUGUCACAUAUAUGAUUAUCGUACUUCACAAAAUCAAAAUUAAAAUUUACUUUUAAAUUAUUAUCUUUUAAUUAUGACCAAUUAUUUUCUCAAUAUACAUUACUUACUUUAUACUUUCUCUCUCCUUUUUAUUUUUUAAUUUAAAAUAUUAUAAAAUAUAAAUAUUAUAUUAUAUAAUUUUUUAAUUGAUUUUAAAAUUACUUAUUUAUUAAAUUAAUUUUUAUAUAUAUAUUUUAAUUUAUUUUAAAGAAAAUAAUAUUAUUAAAUAUAAUUAUUUUUGUUUUUUUAUUUAAUUUACUUAACGUAUUUUUUAGGUGAAUAUUUUUAUUUAAAAUCUGAAUUUUCUCAUAUAAUUAUUUUUAAUAUAAUUAUAUUAUUAAGUAGAAUUAGUUUGUUUAUGUCAUUAGAAUUAAUUUAAAAAUGAGAGACUUUUUGUUUAACGGUUUAUUCAUAAUCAUUAUAUUGCAUUAUAAUACUUAAAAAAUUAUAUAUGACUAAGAAAAAAUUAAAGAUGAAGAUAUGUUAGGGCGAUUAUUUCUGUUAUAAUCAUGUUGCCCGUAAAAUUCAUAUUUUUUUCUACGUUCAGAGUUAAAAUUGAACUACCCUUUGCCGUCCUCUUUCUUUUAUUUUUCAUAUUUUUAUUUUUUAUAAGUCAUAAAUAAUAAAAAUAUCAAUUUUUAUCACUUAAGUCAAAGAUAAUUAUUAAAUAAAGAAAACAUACAAAAAAAAGGACAAAAUAAAGGAAGACUACUAACGCGGAUAUAAGAAAACCCAAGCAUGCCCACUGCAUCCAGGACCAGCCCUAGUAACAACCCUUAGGGAGGGUUACAUGAUCACGAUUUGAUUUGACAUGCUUCUAGAUUAACGACUCAAAUGAAAAAUAUUGAAUUUCCUUCCUUUUUUAAUAUAUAUAUAUAAAUGAAUUUAUUAUUCAAUAAAAGAAUUAAAAACGUCAUUAAAACCCUAAAUUUUAUAGAAAUUAAUGUAAAAUAGCAAGCACGUUAGAGUAAAAUAUCCUUUUUUACUUCAUUCACGCUCUAUCAUCCUAUUUAGUUAAGGUACUAAAAGGCAAGGGUUGAAAUUAAUAUAUAAUUUAAUUAAUUUAUUAAAACGACUCAUACAAAAAAUUUCAAUGUUCUAUCAUUGCAUUAGAUUUUACUAAAAGCCAAUUUAGUGUUCUUAAUUUUUUUUUAUCAUUAUCAAUUAAGUAUUAAAAUAUUUAUUAAUAGCAAUAUUACUAGAAUAAAUUACACUUUCCUCUCUGAAAAAAUACGAAUAUCACACUAUCAUCUCCUCUUAUAUUAAAAAUUUUACUCUCUUUACCUAACAAAUUUGAAUACAUGACUCUUUAUUUCUUUUUAAUUUUGCGUUAAAAUAAACUACAUUAUUAAAAUAUUCUUUACAAUACCACCUCCUCAAAGGUGCAAAUAUUUCACUGCACUCCCUUCUUCUGUUAAAAUACAUACUUCACCCUUAACUAAUAUGUGCGCGCGUGUGUAUAUAUAUAUAUAUAUAUAUAUAUAUAUAUAUAUAUUUAUUAUUUAUAUAUAUAUAUAUAUAUAUAUAUAUAUAUAUAUAUAUAUAUUUAUUAUUUUUUUGGAUAUUUCGUUUUAAAAUGUUUGAUAAUUAAUUUUUUUAAACAAUACACACACUUACACACAUUUAUUUGUUUAUGUUAGUACUGAAUUUUGUUAUAAUUAAAUUUUAUUUAAUAAUAUAUUUUUACAUUAAUAUAUUCAGGUGAAAAGUUAUACGUUACAUUUAUUAAAAUUAAUAAAUAUAGUAUUUAAAUUUAAUAAUAGAGGAUAUUAUGAAAGUUAAUUAUAAAUUAUUUUUUAUGACAAAUUUUUAACCAUUGCUGAAGUACUAGAUUCCCACCCUUAAUUACAGUACACGCGUAUAAAUUAGUUCAAAAUACUCCAAUUGAAAAUUUGAGUCAUAACUUUUCAUUUCCAAAUUAACAUAAUAUUGUUUGCAUAAUUAAGUCAAUUUAUUAGCUUAUUUGUUUCGUGUUUUUAGUUUUACACCACGCUCUAUUAAAUGUUUGUAACCUAAAAAAUUAUCUAUUUGAAGUGAGUUUUUUUGGUGUGUAUGAAACCCAAGUUAGAAUUCUAAACAGAAAAAAUUAUUCCCUACUAUAACGCUAACGCUAUAUUAUUUGGUUUUAGCCUUGAGCGUUUGGAACGGGGGGAAAUGAUGUUGGCAUUUGAUGAGAGAAUUAUUGUGUUGAAUGAUGUACGUACAUGUAUAUAUCAUUCGCACUGCGUCAGGAAGCCCUUUGAAGCACCUAUUAUUAAUUUCUGCCUCCUUUGACUUGUUGACAAGUGUAUCAAAAUAUCAUAAAUAUUCGAAUGUUCGAGUAUGCUCAUAGAUUUUGUUUGUACUUAGAUAAAUACAAAUCUAAUUUUACGAAGCAAGAGAUAAGAAAUUUAAAAUAAAAAAUAAAAAAAGAUAAUAGAUAAGAUAAAUAUUUAAAGAUUAAAAGAUGAUAAAACUAAAAAAGAGAUAAGAUAAGAAAAGUAAAAGAUAACAUAAAUAAAAGAUAUGAAAAGAUAAGAUAUGAUAAUAUUGAGACCUGACAUGUCCUAAUUUACCUAGGAUGUAUGACUUUAUGAUUUUUCUUUACCAUGGGCAUAAUGCAAUCACUCUAUGCCUAAUGAUUUUAUUAUGAUAUUUUUUUUCUUGUUCUAUGAGAAGUUAUCUUCUCCCGAAAGUCUAACCCCUAAAACUAAUGCAUGCAUAUCUUUAAAGAUGAGUAUGCAAGAUAAAUAAUGAAGAGUACAUCAUACAUCACAAGGCUUGCUAGGCCCUAACUAAGGGUUUAGCCACCCAUGACCAAUGAGAAGAUGAGUGAAAGAAAGAGAGGGAGUAAAUGAAAUCCUUAGGAGAGGGGUUCCGUGGUGGUGUGUUGUUUCCUCCCUUGGACUGACUCUUUAUUUAUAGCUGUUGAAGUAGGCUUUGGGCCUUCUAUUUAUCACUGUUGAAGUAGGCUUUGGGCCUUCGUAGGCGCGCUUAGCGCGACACCCCUCGCUCAGUGCGUAUUGUAGGCUUAGCAUGUACUUCUGUUGGAUCGCAGGCUUAGCGCGCGUGUUGCAAGUUUAGCACGUUCUAGUUCAGUUAUGCGCGCUUAGCGCCGGUUGUGCGCUAGGCGCAUGUGAAAACUCUCGAGUUUAACGCCUUGCUUAGCGUCUAUGGUUUCUGACGCGCUUAGCGCGUAUUGGGCUGAGUCUGUUCAGAUUUUUUUCUUUUCUUUUAUUUUUUUGAUCUUUUUGCUUGUUACACCUCCAAUUUUUAUAUCUACAACCAAAAUUUAACAAAACAUCAAUUCUUUAAUAUUUAAGUGCAAAUAACUGUUAAAUAAUUAUUUUUAAAGAUAAUUUUACCUUAUUUUUUAUUUUCAAAAUACAAUUAUUUAAUAGUUAUCUGCCUCCAAUCUAUUCAAAUUCCGUAAAAGCUUUGAUCUAACUUGCAUCCAUCUUGCGUGAUGAACAAUCAAAGACGUACUAGCAAGUCUUACAACCUAUAUCAUACUUUUGUGACAUAAUAUAUUAAUUACUCUAUAAAAUAUAUUAAGAAGACAGUUCCUAUUGAAAAUAGAAAGUGUGUGACGAGUAAAUCAUUAUUUUGUUAAAUAUUUAUUUUUGUAAAUCCUGAAUCAUCAUCAUUGUCAUUAUCAUCGACUUAGUCUUGCUUGUGUAGUGACACUUUUAAUUUCAACAUGAAAGGGACAGUAUGAAUGUAACGUCUUGCAAAUCCACCACGUAUAAUUAUGUUUCAUUAUUAUCCAUUCAUUAUUAUCCAUUAGACCAUUUUCCAAACAACUGUACUUAAACAAUAUAAGUAUGUAAUAUAUAUAUAUAAGGGAAUUUAAAAUAUUGGUUCCAAAUUUUUUGAAUAAACAUCAUAAUGUGAAAUAUUUAUUAUUAUUUUAUUUAAAUUAUAUCUAUUAUAAAAAAUAAUUAUGUUUAAAUCAAAUAAAAUUAUCAUGAAUUAUAAAACUCUUUCUUCAAAUAUUAAUUUAAUAUAAAUGUAUGCUCAGAAUUCGAGUUCAAGACUAUUAUUCGUUAAACAAGAUUAUACCCAAGCCAAUUAAUUCAAGCCUUGACGAUAGUAUUUAUUAAUUUUACUAAUAAAUUUUUAAAAAAAUAUGACUGGUCACAUAUGAUGCUUUUACAAAAAAUAAGACAGUAGUGACAUUUUACUAAAGGUUUUAGUUUAGGGAAAAGAGAGUGUAAUUUCCUCUCGAAGAAUAUGACACUAUUUAUGAAGUCAAUGCAAGUCUUGACGGGUUGUCUUGCAUAAUGCAUACGUUGGUAAAUUUCAAAUUUCUUUUGGCAUUUGAAGGGAAAGAUACAAAAAAAAAAAAAAAACAAAGGAUAAAACAAAGGAAGACUACGACGCGCAUAUAAGAAAACCCAAGCAUGUGCACACUUCAUCCAGCCCUAAUAAGUAAUAACCCUUAGGGAGGGUUACAUGAUAACGAUUUGAUUUGAUAUGCUUCUAGAUUAACGACUCAAAUGAAAAAUAUUGAAUUUCCUUCUUAAUUUUUAUAAUAUAUAUAAAUGUAUUUAUUAUUCAAUAAAAGAAUCAAAAACGUCAUUAAAACCCUAAAUUUUAUAGAAAUUAAUGUAAAACAGAAAACACGUUAGAGUAAAAUAUCCUUUUUUACUUCAUUCACGCUCUAUCAUCCUAUUUAGUUAAAGUACUAAAAGGCAAGGGUUGAAAUUAAUAUAUAAUUUCAUUAAUUUAUUAAAACGACUCAUACAAACUUUUUUAAUGUUCUAUCAUUGCAUGCAUUAGAUUUUACUAGAAGCAAAUUUAGUCUUCUUAAUUUUUUUGUUAACAAUAUUAAUUAAGUAUUAAAUAUUUAUUAAUAGCAAUAUUACUGGAAUAAAUUACACUUCCCUCUCUUAAAAAAUACGAAUAUCACACUAUCAUCUCCUCUUCUAUUAAAAAUUUUACUCUCUUUACCUAACAAAUUUGAAUACAUUACACUUUCUUUCUUUUUAAUUUUACGUUAAAAUUCUGUUUGUUUCUUUUAAAAUAAACUAGAUUAUUAAAAUAUUCUUUACACUACCACCUCUUCAAAGGUGCAAAUAUUUCACUGCACUCCCCUCUUGUGUUAAAAUACAUACUUCAUCUCUUAACUAAUGCGUGCGUGCGCGAUAUAUAUAUAUAUAUAUAUAUAUAUAUAUAUAUAUAUAUAUAUAUAUAUAUAUAUAUAUUUAAAUGUGUGANNNNNNNNNNNNNNNNNNNNNNNNNNNNNNNNNNNNNNNNNNNNNNNNNNNNNNNNNNNNNNNNNNNNNNNNNNNNNNNNNNNNNNNNNNNNNNNNNNNNNNNNNNNNNNNNNNNNCAUAUAUAUACAUGUGGAAAGUUAUGCGCGCGUUACAUUUAUCAGAAGUAAUAAAUAUAGUAUUUAGAUUUAAUAAUAGAGGAUAUUAUGAAAAUUAAUCGUAUAUUAUUUUUUCAUGACAAUUUUUUACCCAUUGUUGAAGUACUAGAUUUCCACCCUUAAUUACAAUGUACGGGUAUAAAUGAGUUCAAAAUACUCUAAUUCAAAAUUUGAGUCAUAACAUUUCAUUUCCAAAUUAACAUAAUAUUGUUUGCAUAAUUAAGUCACUUUAUUAGCUUAUUUAUUUUCGUGUUUUUAGUUCUACACCACUCUCUAUUUAAUGUUUGUAACCUAAAAAAUUAUCUAUUUAAAGUGAGUUUUCUUUAUCGGCAAUAUUAAGACAAAAUCAAAACCGCUAUUUUUAUCAUGGUUCCUUUCUCUCUUCCCUUCUAUUUAAGGUGGGUAUGCUUAGUAAUUAUAGAAGACAAAACAAACAUAUACUAUUUAGUGGGUUAAAGUUGUUAUUUUUUAUUUGAAAAGAAAAAAACAAUUACUAAUAAUAAGUAAUGUAUAUACAUCUUUCAAUUUGACAAACAUUAAAUUAAACUUAAAGUGAAUUACUUAUGCACUUUAAUUUCAAGAAAUUAAGCUCAAUUUCAAUGAAAUUUAAUAAUUUGAUACUUUGUCUUUUUAAGAGAAAAUGUCCAGUAGAACUGGGAAAGUAUUAAUAACAUAAUAAUAAUCUUGAGCUUUCUUUAAAGGCAGCAUUAUAGUUGAGAAUGUGGCACCAGAUAUACUAUUACAAUCUGUGCUUAUAGAGUUUCAAUGCACUCAAUUUCAAUCUUGGCAUCCAAUGGCAAUUUAGCCACUUCUUAAAUUGAACCAUUGGAAAAGCAGCUAAGUAAAAUUGUUGAAGUAAUUAUAGGCAUUAAUUAUGAGUGAAAAUUAAAUAAUACCAACUCAAGGGGAAAAUCUUAUGAUUUUCAGCAUAGUACUAGUAGUUUCUCUAGCAUUAAUCAUCCUUAUUAUAUAUUAAAUAUGACAAGUUGACAAAAUAACCAAUUAUGUAUGACAAGAUGAAUCUUUAAGAGUUAAACCAUAAUAAAGCGUGAAGGUUUUAAAUCUAACACCUGCUCACUCUUUUUCCAUGUUACGUGUAUGUUACCUACAAGCUAACACAUUCUCAGCCCACAAAUGUAACAGGAUAAUUUUUACAGCACAGAAUAAAUUAUUGCCAUAAGUGAAAUUCAUUAGUAAACACACUACCCACUCUUUUAAAUGCACUCCUUACUAUUAGUUGAAAUCAGUUAGAAAUUGCUAAAUCUAUUCCCAGAGGAUCAUAUGUCAGUGGUAAAACAAUCAAAAUGCUAAUUCCUAAACACACAUAAAACUGGGAUCCCGAUUUCCUAGAGAGCCAUGCUAAGGGCAAAUCUGUCAAGUCUAAACUCUAUUACAUACUUACGUAGAAUACAAAGUACAAAGAUUUAUGAGUAUGAGUUAAAUAUACAACAUCAAAGAGAACCAACCAGACUUUCCAAUAUUUCCAAAUUUGAAAUGCAACUCUAGGAUUGUGUGGUAGCCUACUUGUUAAUUAUGCUACAACAUCCUAGUAAAACACUAAAGUAUCAGAAUUUCGGUGCUGAAUCACAUGAUUUUGCUUUAUAUGCAGCAGCAAAUUAGAGUACAAUAAAACCAAUGACAAUGACAAAGGUUUAUAUGUAGGUCAGUGUAGCACAGGUUUUAAUUUGGUUCGCAUACCUUGAGUGAAAAACCGCACACAGUUUUUGAUGGUACACAAAACCUAACAGUAGUAAAAGCUAAAUAAAUUACCAAGAAAUCUAAAAGCAAGUAAUAAAGUCAAAAUCAUUUUACAUACAAAGAGAAUGGCGCGAGAGAAAGGUUCACCAACAAUGGCAGAACCAGACCGCAAGAGGAAAACUCAAAAAAGAGAAAGAGCGAGGCAGAGACAAACAAUUACGAGAGCGAGAGAGACGACUCCAACGAUGGCAAUGUGAUAGGUAGGGUUUAUGAAAGGGAGGGCAAUAAUGGCGAGGGUCAAGGAAUAGAGCUUCGUGAGGGCAACAGUGGUGAAGGCACGGAUACAAACCCUACAUUGUUCCCCAUAACCCUAAUGCACAGAUACAAACAAUUAAAUAUUAUAUUAUAAUUUUUAAACCCUACCGCGUAAAACAAAAUCACUAAAUCCUAACACUAACUAAAAUUUAUUAAAAAAAACACUUUAAACAGGAGAAGCCUUUCAGGGUAACAGCUUCAAGGUGAAGCAGAUCAGGGUAGUUUCACCAAGUCAAUUUAACCAAAAAAGCACUUUAAACAAAAGAAAGUUUUCAGGGUAGCACCUCCUAUGUGAAGCAGACCAGGAUGACAACUCCUCUUGUACUGACAUCCACCUAAACAAAUGACAGAGAUCAGGGUAGCAUCAUUAUAGGAGGAGGCUUACUGAUGCUUCUCAUCAUCAACGUGAUAAAAAAAAAUUCAUCUUGAUAAAUAAUUUGUUGACCAACUCAUAUAGGUAAAUAGCUUUUAUUUUUCACCCAUAUUGAUAAAAAAGUUGACAAAUGACAUUAAUUUCAAAAUCAGGGAUAAAAAUAUGGGACCAAAUCAUUUGGUACCUACAUUUUUCAGUGGUAAAAAUCUGGGACAAAAGACAAAAUGGGAAAAAAUCUACGUGCACAAAUUGCAUUUGGCCUCCUCUAAGCUUAUGAGUGUAAAACUCUUUUUUAAUUAAUAUUCCAAGAGGCUCAUUUCUUUUAAAUGCAUGUCAUAUAAUUUGCCAAGAAAGAAAAAAUGGCAUAAAAAAAUUAACAUAUGCCAAAGCUUAAACAAAUACACUAUGUGAUUAAAAGGAACCGGUGAUAUAUAAUUGCUUUGAAAUCCCUGUGAAAGCUUCACUGUUAGGUUGAUUAGUUGCUCUCACUUAGUUGACAUAAUUUAAAGAAAACAAAAUCAAUUUCAAGGUUUAUGAAUUUCAGUUUGACCACAAUCAAACUGUAUAACAAAAAUCCAAUGAGACAACAAUAUUUUAAAGAAGAAAAAAAUGCAUCUUAUUACCACUCAUAAUGGAUGUACCAAUAAACUAGAAAAUAGAUCAUUAACAUUUAUUCUAAAGACAUUCAACAUCGAUUUUGAACCCGUGUUGAAACUAUCAUUAUUAAAAGUAUGUCAUUUUUUACAUUGGUUAUAAAAUUGAUGCUCAAAAUCACUUCCAAAACUAAUAUAAUAUAAUAGUAAAAAAUAUCGAUUUUAAUCAAAACUAAUAUUAUAAGUAUUAUAAAAUAUUGAUUUUGUUAAAACCGACGUUGUAUAGUGUAUACAUCAUUAGUUUUGACAAAACCAAUAUUUUACACUACUUACAACAUUGAUUUUUGCUAAAAUCGAUGUUAUUUUUGCUAUUAUACCACAUUAAUUUUGAUCAAAAUUAAUAUUGUACAAUAUUAUUUUUGAUAUAAUCGAUGUUGAUUAUGCAAAAAAAUAAAUAUAUUUUAUCUAUUUGUUAAAUAAAAUCAAACCUGCAAAUUAAAAACAAAACCCAUCUAAGCAUAUUAUAUAUAUAUAUAUAUAUAUAUAUAUAUAUAUAUAUAUAUAUAUAUAUAUAUAUAUAUAUAUAUAUAUAUAUAUAUAUAUAUAUAUAUAUAUAUAUAUAAAAUAAAGAAAUACUUAAAGGAUAUCAAACAAUGAUUUUUGGACCUCUAGUAAAGUACACUUAAAAAAAUUUCCUCUUUUUUUUACUACAUUAAAAAAUGCUUCAAAACAUACCAUCAAAGUUAAUAAAAGAUAAAUAUAACUCAGAAUAUAAUUCCAAAUAUAAUUUUUUUUUUUUUUUUGAGUUCAUCAAUCUUGUCAAACACGUAUAGUGUUUCUCUCUGUAAUGAAAGAGACAAAUAUAACUCCAAAUAUAACUCAGAAUAGAGAUGAGAUAAAAGAUGACUUGUGAGACUUACCUCAUGAGUUUCCCUUUAGAGACCGCUUCAAAUAUAACUCCAGUAUAAUAGUCAAGACCUUGGGUCAGACAUAUGUCAAAAACCACGUUAUCAAGGCGUUUUGAUUUAUCCAUAAGUUUAAAUAAAAUUUAUAGGUCAUUCAAUGCAUCAACGGAUCCAUCAUCUUUUAAGAAAGCACUGCCUUCUCUAAAUUUAGACAACAAUGCUAGAGGAGGUCCUUUUUCUUUGAUAUAAGUUUCAAUUUUGUCAGCAAUCUCAGCAAUUAAUCCUUUCUCUUCCUCCUACUGCAUGACAGUACAAAAACACAUCAUUAAACAUAACAUAUAUAUCAUGAUUACAAGACAACAACUUUCCGAUAUUACAGUAAUAGGGAAUAUUAUUGUCUCAAAUUUUAAUUGGUCAUACACAUAGAAAGAAACAAAAUCGUAAGUCUCAAAGACCUAAGGCAAUGAAUGUAGUGGAAUAUACUUGAACAGUUUUACGAACAUUUAAAUCAUGAAAUGCAAUUUCUUUUUUAUUUUAUCAAACAAUGUCUAAGUUUUGAAGCACCAAGUCUAAUCUAAUGUUAUUAAAUAAAAUAAUCCUUUGCAUUGAAGCACCAGAUCUUACCUCAUACAAACAAAUGAAUUAUAAGAAAGAAAGUCACAAUGGUGUCCUAGAAACCAUUAGAAUGAUAUGAAGAGUUCCUCAUUCUAACAGCAAGAGUCCAACGAAUAAUUUAAAGGCAAUAAUUACAGAGAACUUCACAAAAAUAUAAAUGUACAGGCAUCUUGCUUGGAUGCCAAUAAAUGAUAAAACACAACUUACACUAGUUUCUACAGUACAUAGAACAUUUUGCAGCCUCAGAUAACUGCAUCAAGACAAAUGAUAUAAGGUGCAAAAUAAUUGGUCAAGAUAAAAUGCAGAAAUAUAUAACAUAUUUACUAGCAUGGUUAUAGUCAUCACUCAACACAUUGUUACUAUAGACCAAAGACAACAUUAAACUUUGAACUAAUGAAAACAGUGGUAAAAAAUAGUUCAUUUGGUCAUCUAGGCAGGGCAGAAAAGAGACACACUGCCUCAGAAAACCCGAGGGAAGUAAGCCUGAUGAUGUGCCUAAUGGGACCAGAUCCUGUAAUUUCAGAUAACAUGCCAAUUUACCAUCGCUUAAGUACCCAUAGCCAAUGUAUCAAUAUGUGCAGGCUAGUUCAGAAAAACGGGGGCCCCUCUUUUUUUUCUUUUUUUUUUUUUUUUUCUUUUUUNNNNNNNNNNNNNNNNNNNNNNNNNNNNNNNNNNNNNNNNNNNNNNNNNNNNNNNNNNNNNNNNNNNNNNNNNNNNNNNNNNNNNNNNNNNNNNNNNNNNNNNNNNNNNNNNNNNNNNNNNNNNNNNNNNNNNNNNNNNNNNNNNNNNNNNNNNNNNNNNNNNNNNNNNNNNNNNNNNNNNNNNNNNNNNNNNNNNNNNNNNNNNNNNNNNNNNNNNNNNNNNNNNNNNNNNNNNNNNNNNNNNNNNNNNNNNNNNNNNNNNNNNNNNNNNNNNNNNNNNNNNNNNNNNNNNNNNNNNNNNNNNNNNNNNNNNNNNNNNNNNNNNNNNNNNNNNNNNNNNNNNNNNNNNNNNNNNNNNNNNNNNNNNNNNNNNNNNNNNNNNNNNNNNNNNNNNNNNNNNNNNNNNNNNNNNNNNNNNNNNNNNNNNNNNNNNNNNNNNNNNNNNNNNNNNNNNNNNNNNNNNNNNNNNNNNNNNNNNNNNNNNNNNNNNNNNNNNNNNNNNNNNNNNNNNNNNNNNNNNNNNNNNNNNNNNNNNNNNNNNNNNNNNNNNNNNNNNNNNNNNNNNNNNNNNNNNNNNNNNNNNNNNNNNNNNNNNNNNNNNNNNNNNNNNNNNNNNNNNNNNNNNNNNNNNNNNNNNNNNNNNNNNNNNNNNNNNNNNNNNNNNNNNNNNNNNNNNNNNNNNNNNNNNNNNNNNNNNNNNNNNNNNNNNNNNNNNNNNNNNNNNNNNNNNNNNNNNNNNNNNNNNNNNNNNNNNNNNNNNNNNNNNNNNNNNNNNNNNNNNNNNNNNNNNNNNNNNNNNNNNNNNNNNNNNNNNNNNNNNNNNNNNNNNNNNNNNNNNNNNNNNNNNNNNNNNNNNNNNNNNNNNNNNNNNNNNNNNNNNNNNNNNNNNNNNNNNNNNNNNNNNNNNNNNNNNNNNNNNNNNNNNNNNNNNNNNNNNNNNNNNNNNNNNNNNNNNNNNNNNNNNNNNNNNNNNNNNNNNNNNNNNNNNNNNNNNNNNNNNNNNNNNNNNNNNNNNNNNNNNNNNNNNNNNNNNNNNNNNNNNNNNNNNNNNNNNNNNNNNNNNNNNNNNNNNNNNNNNNNNNNNNNNNNNNNNNNNNNNNNNNNNNNNNNNNNNNNNNNNNNNNNNNNNNNNNNNNNNNNNNNNNNNNNNNNNNNNNNNNNNNNNNNNNNNNNNNNNNNNNNNNNNNNNNNNNNNNNNNNNNNNNNNNNNNNNNNNNNNNNNNNNNNNNNNNNNNNNNNNNNNNNNNNNNNNNNNNNNNNNNNNNNNNNNNNNNNNNNNNNNNNNNNNNNNNNNNNNNNNNNNNNNNNNNNNNNNNNNNNNNNNNNNNNNNNNNNNNNNNNNNNNNNNNNNNNNNNNNNNNNNNNNNNNNNNNNNNNNNNNNNNNNNNNNNNNNNNNNNNNNNNNNNNNNNNNNNNNNNNNNNNNNNNNNNNNNNNNNNNNNNNNNNNNNNNNNNNNNNNNNNNNNNNNNNNNNNNNNNNNNNNNNNNNNNNNNNNNNNNNNNNNNNNNNNNNNNNNNNNNNNNNNNNNNNNNNNNNNNNNNNNNNNNNNNNNNNNNNNNNNNNNNNNNNNNNNNNNNNNNNNNNNNNNNNNNNNNNNNNNNNNNNNNNNNNNNNNNNNNNNNNNNNNNNNNNNNNNNNNNNNNNNNNNNNNNNNNNNNNNNNNNNNNNNNNNNNNNNNNNNNNNNNNNNNNNNNNNNNNNNNNNNNNNNNNNNNNNNNNNNNNNNNNNNNNNNNNNNNNNNNNNNNNNNNNNNNNNNNNNNNNNNNNNNNNNNNNNNNNNNNNNNNNNNNNNNNNNNNNNNNNNNNNNNNNNNNNNNNNNNNNNNNNNNNNNNNNNNNNNNNNNNNNNNNNNNNNNNNNNNNNNNNNNNNNNNNNNNNNNNNNNNNNNNNNNNNNNNNNNNNNNNNNNNNNNNNNNNNNNNNNNNNNNNNNNNNNNNNNNNNNNNNNNNNNNNNNNNNNNNNNNNNNNNNNNNNNNNNNNNNNNNNNNNNNNNNNNNNNNNNNNNNNNNNNNNNNNNNNNNNNNNNNNNNNNNNNNNNNNNNNNNNNNNNNNNNNNNNNNNNNNNNNNNNNNNNNNNNNNNNNNNNNNNNNNNNNNNNNNNNNNNNNNNNNNNNNNNNNNNNNNNNNNNNNNNNNNNNNNNNNNNNNNNNNNNNNNNNNNNNNNNNNNNNNNNNNNNNNNNNNNNNNNNNNNNNNNNNNNNNNNNNNNNNNNNNNNNNNNNNNNNNNNNNNNNNNNNNNNNNNNNNNNNNNNNNNNNNNNNNNNNNNNNNNNNNNNNNNNNNNNNNNNNNNNNNNNNNNNNNNNNNNNNNNNNNNNUCCCUACAACAUUUUCUUGUGCAUGAUAUGCUUAACUGAAGCACUGGCUCUGGCAAAUAUUAGUUAGUUGAAAUUCGUGUAACAUAAAUUUAUGAAAAUAAUCAUUAGAAAAAAAAUAAAAGAAUAGAAAAAAAAACCGUCUCUAGAUCUGCCUUUGCUUGUUCACGAUCACAGUACUCGGCCCAUUCUCAUACACAUAUGCAUUGUUUUUUUUUUCAUAUAAGAGGCAACCUUAUAAGGUUAAUUGUAGUCUAUGCUUAUCACUAGCUACUUUGCCACCAACAUUUCAGUAGUUUUGCUAAGCUCAUGACCACCUACACAUGAUAAGGAAGAAAAAUAACUGAGUAUUAAAAAAUUGUCCAUCAUGACUCUAAAGGGAAAGAAAAACAAAACACAGCUUUCUGCUUCAAACUGAGUAUUAGAAGUUCCAUUAGUAGGAUCGUUUCACCUUAUGAGAUUUAAUUCUCUGGAUCUCAUCCUGUAGUCGUUUUGCAGCCUCGUCACUUUUGGUUUUGUCUCAAUAGUUGAGACUGAGAUUCUUGUUUCUAAAGAUGUGUUAUCAAUCAAGAAAACAAUAAUAUUUGCAUUUCAAUUUUUUUUAUCAUGUUCAUACUUAUAUAAAAAAUAGAAAAAAGCAUAUUUUUUAUCUUACCAUCUAAAAUUAUAAAAUAAUGAAUAUUUUUUAUUGUAAAAAUAUAUCGUUACUAAAUAUAUACAAUGUAUAUUUUAUUUUAUAUUAAAAAAAUCUUUCACUUUUCACAUGACACAUACUUAUUUAUAUAUAUAUAUAUAUAUAUAUAUAUAUAUAUAUAUAUAUAUAUAUAUAUAUAUAUAUAUAUAUAUAUUCCAAAAGAAACAAAGACAAGUACUUAAAAUUUAUAAUAUCUCAUACAACAUAUUCAAUCAACUGAAUUAUACUCAUUGAUAUAGUUACACAGAUACAUACAUGAGUGUUAAAUUUAGAAUUUAAUUAAUUAAAAUCUCUCUAAUAUAUCUCCAUUGUUAAAGAAAAAGUGUUUUGUAUAAGAGUAAUAUAUCCACAAACUUAUAAGUUCCUACCACAAGCAUAUAACGAAAUAAGAAUCAAACUGUCAUUAAUGGUGUAUUACUGAAUCACAAGGUUUAAAAACUUUAUUCAUGACUACACACAAAAGACGGGAGUUAUGUAGUCAUGUGUUUACACAUUAAGAGAGACAUACUCAUCCAAGGCAAUUAAACAGUAGAAUAAAAUAAAAUAAAAUAACAUGUUAAGAACAUCAUGCAAUUAAAAUAAAAAUUCAUGACCUCAAUGUCACGUCCUAUUAGAGCAUGGUGUCUUGACGUCCCCCUGCACAAGAUUUCUUAAGGCAAUCCACUUAGUCAUCUUCUCUCACGAACACAAAGUUCAAGAUCAUCACAUGAUACAAAUACAAACAACACAUAGAAAGUGAGUUAUCACAUUCUUAAACAUGUAGAGAUAAAUGAAAACACAUAUAUCAUAUAAUAUAAGUAUAAGAAGCUCAACUUAACACAACUCGCAUCAUUUUACCACUCAUUAUAUAAUGUCACUUGUCCCCAAGGAUUUAAUCACAAAUCACAUUCCACACUUUCACAUUAAUCACAUGUUUAGAACGACACAUCUCUGAUACAACACAAUAUCUUAAACUCACACAAUUCAUUACCCACCAUUACGUAACAACUUAUAAUGAUCAUUACAUAAGCGUUAUGUAACAGAUAUACUAAGACUUAAUCAUAUAUGUAAUGUGGUACCAUAUCAGUGAAAAAUAACAGUAAGGUGCCUAGAAGUACAUAACAAGAGACACCACACAAUGAGUUUGUCAAGUAACUCUCACUAAGUGAAAUCGUAAGGUGACCAAUCAAGGUUCCUCUGUUUUACGAGAAUGCUCUAAUCAUAUAGGAUUAAUAUAAGCUUAAAGAAGCACUCAAAUCGAGUGUAUUUACCCUCAAGAUUUAGACUCUGAAGAAUUCAUUAGGGUCUUACCUUUCUGAUUUAGGUUCAACCCCUAAAAUAAAUUUUGCAUGCAAAUACUACUCGUGAAUUAUGUAAUACCCACGGUCUCACACUUACUUUCAAAACACAUUUAACACAAUGCAUUACAAUUUAACUCCUCAGGUUCUUAAUUUGGAACCGUACACUCUUCCUUUAACACCUCACGCAUUGCACUAUAAUUUAACACCUCAAGUUCCUAAUUUAAAAUCCCUAUACUUCCCUUUUAACACCCUUCACAUUGCGCUACAAUUUAACACUAAAAUUUAUAAUGUAUACUUAAUGCAUAUAUAAAUUUAAGUUAUAAAUUUAGUGACAAUUAAAUUUGAUCUAAUAAUUAAUUUUUUUACAUAUAUGAAUUAUUGUAAAUAAAACUUAUGAUUUUUAUUUAAAAUUUAUAUAUAUAUAUAUAUAUAUAUAUAUAUAUAUAAAUACAUUAGUAUAUUUAUGUUAGUAAUGUAUUUUUUACAUAUAUAAAUUUUAUUAAACCUACGAUUUUUAUUUACAAUUUAUAUAUGUAAAUAAAUUAAUUAUUAGAUCAAAAUUAAUUAUCACAAAAUUUAUUAUGUAAAUUUACAUGUGCAUUAAAUAUAUAUUAAAAGUUUUAGUGUUAUAUAUAACGACAUUAAUUAUUUUAUAACAUAAUUGACUUAUUAACUCAGUUGGUUAGAGUGUCGUGCUAAUAACGUGAAAAUCAUAGGUUCAAUUUCUGCCUAGACAAUUAAUUUUAAAUUAAUUUGUAAAAUAUAUCUUUUAAAAAAUUAAUAAAAAAAUUGUAUGAACCACUUACGAAUUGGACAAUCCAUAAGCCUAUUACGGAUCUGUAAUUGAUUUAUGAAUUGUGAAUUCGUAAACCAAUUAUGGAUGUAUCAGAAAAACAAAUGGUGCGCGUAGCAAAUCUGAAACCAAUAAUGUUUUGUGUUGGACUUUUAUGAAAUUUCUUAUAUUUAGGGUUUUUUAAUUGUAAUCCAUAGCCCUAGUAUAUCAACACACUUUCGUAUGAACUAGGGUUAUCAGAAAUUAAAUGUAGAAGCAGUUUUCUUUAAGCUUUCCUUUAUCAUCCACUUGCAAUUUAUCUUUCUUAGUCUAGUUAGCAGAAGAGUCUAUCAAUCUAAAUGUGAAAUGCUAUUCAGUUAUCUAAGACUGGACCACUUUAGAAGAUAAGAACGAAACAUCGUAGUUCUAAAAAUGCAUUAUUAUGCCGUCAUAUGGAAAGGUGAUUCUCACAAAAUGUUUCUCAUGCUGGUGUUGGUCAGCAUAACACAUUUUAUCUUUAAGCUUUCCUUUAUCGUCCCCUUUCAAUUUAUCUUUCUUAGUCUAGUUAGCAGCAAAGUCUAUCAGUCUAAAUGUGAAAUGCUAUUCAGUUAUCUAAGACUGGACCACUUUAGAAGAUAAGAACGAAACAUCGUAGUUCUAAAAAUGCAUUAUUAUGGCGUCAUAUGUAAAGGUGAUUCUCACAAAAUGUUUCUCAUGCUGGUGUUGGUCAGCAUAACACAUUUUAUCUUUAAGCUUUCCUUUAUCGUCCCCUUGCAAUUUAUCUUUCUUAGUCUAGUUAGCAGCAGAGUCUAUCAAUCUAAAUGUGAAAUGCUAUUCAGUUAUCUAAGACUGGACCACUUUAGAAGAUAAGAACGAAACAUCGUAGUUCUAAAAAUGCAUUAUUAUGGCGUCAUAUGUAAAGGUGAUUCUCACAAAAUGUUUCUUAUGUGGGUGUUGGUCAGCAUAACACAUUUUUCUUCUAGAACACAUGAUAUCUAGGCAAUUCUAUCAUGAGCAUAAUGCUUUACGUAAAACAGCCAAUCAAAAAUUCAAGAUAAAAUUGAAAUAAUUUCAGUUCAAGCUUCCUUCUAAGUAGUUCAUGCAUUUUCCUUUUCUUUGCUGACUUGUCGUUAAUUUUUAAUUAAUUGAAGGAAAGGGAACAAUUGAUUUGAAUUAUUAUAUUUUCUGAAACAAAAAACAACACUAUAUUUAAUUUGUUUCCUUUAUUUUAAUAGGAAAAAAAAUAAAGCUUACAAAUGUUAUCAUUAAUUUGGUUAAGGUAUCUAAAUUUCAGAAACCCAGAAAACUAAAACAAAAUGACCUAAAAUAUAUAUAAAAAAAAAAGAUACAAUAGAAAAAUAGAAAGGAACAAUUAAAACUCAAGCAUGUUUAUUAAGUUCAAUCUUUCAGCUAUAUAUAAGUGAGAAUGUAGAGCUAAUCCAUUGAAGAUGAGCUUCCCAUUACCAGCUCAUUGGCAACCUGCUCCAUGGUAGGGCGAGAUCGUGGACUUUCAGUCAAGCAGGCCAUUGCUAUCUUUGCAAUUGAUGCCACUUCCUUACCAAUUGGCUUUGUUGGAUGAGGGAGACGUGGGUCCAACUUAUCCAUCAAUGCCAUGUGAUCGAGUGUUGAGGCCACAAGAGUAGAUGGAGAUGAUCCCAAUAAAGAAGAUAUAUCAUCACCAGGGUGCUUCCCAACAAGUAUUUCCCAUGCUAGGACCCCAAAACUAUACACGUCACAUUUCUCAUUCACCUCCAUUGUGUAUGCAAGUUCUGUAAACAAAAUAAAAGUGCUAUCAUACGCGAAAUAGGAUUCUAGUGACAAAGGCAAAAUGUGGACAAUUGUGACUAAGAAAGGCAAACUAAAAAAUAUGAUAUCCUCAGCAUAUCCAAAGGUAAUUAACCUGGAGCAGCAUAUCCAAAGGUAAUUAACCUGGAGCAGCAUAUCCAAAGGUUCCUACGAAUGAGGUCCAAUUGGAUGAAUCUGGAUUAAGAAAAUUGGCUGUUCCAAAGUCUGAGACAUGAGCUACAUAUUCGGAAUCCAAAAGAACAUUCUUGCUUGAUAUAUCACGAUGAACAAUUCGAGGUGAGCAUUCAUGGUGCAUAUAGCACAAAGCAUUUGCUACAUCUUUAACAACAUUCACCCUCUUAUACCAAUCAAAUGCCAUUGCUUGUCCAUCAUCCUUCAGAGUCUUCUCAACACUGCCAUUCUCCAGGAAUUCACACACCAAAAAUGAGAAUUGUGAAUGUGAACAAAACCCAUAUAACUUUACAAUGUUACGAUGUCGAAUUUAUGUCAAAGCUUGGAUCUCACAUGUGAAAGCUUUCAGAUUGAGCAUCGCUCCAUUUGGAACUGAAUGGAGUUUCUUUACAGCAACAACUUGACCUGCAGGGAGCACUGCUUUGUAAACACAUCCUUGUCCUCCAACACCAAUGAGAUGUUUGUUGUCUAAAUAUUCUGUGGCUUCAAUAAUAUUCUCGAAUACCAUUUUGCCAUCAAAAUUCCAUAUUGCAAAUAUGUUUGGAGUUUGUAUAUUUGUAGCCUGGUCUUCUUUUUUCGUUGAGGUUUGGCAUAAAUGAUACGAGACUCCGAAAGCAAAUAAUGCCAGUAUUAGAAUACCCAAAGUAAGGGGUAAAAUUACUAUUAUUAUUUUCUUCCUCAUAUGAUUAUGAGAUUUCCCACUUGAUGUUGAGCAAGGCUCCAAGCCAGUGACAUUGCCACACAAACCUUUAUUAUUUCUCAAUGCUUCAAUUUUAGCAUUGUGGAAGGCUAGAAUGUUUGGAAGUGGACCCUCAAACUGGUUGUAUGAUAUAUCAAUAGAUGUCAAGCUGGUCAUAUCAUCGAAGCUAGAGAGAUUACCUGAAAGAUUAUUGUGAGAGAGAUUCAGUGUUUCUAAGCUUUUUAAUUCUCCAAACAUUGAAGGUAUUGCUCCUCUCAAUGAAUUUUCACCAAGAUCAAGACUCGUAAGAAAUUUCAGUUUGCCAAGCUCUGAAGGAAUAUUUCCCUGAAAAUUAUUUUGGCUCAGACUCAUGUUCAAUAAAUUGAGCAAAUUUCCUAGUUGUUUUGGGAUUAAGCCAGACAACUUAUUUGAUCCAAGCUUCAAAAUUUGAAGUUUCUGCAUUGAUGCUAUUUCUUCAAAAUUUGAAGUUUCUGCAUUGAUGCUAUUUUGGCUCAGACUCAUGUUCAAUUCGAUGUAGUCCAAAUUUGGAAGUACACCAAAAGCAUCUGUUAUAUCCCCAGUUAGCUGGUUUCGCUGAAGCCUGACUCUUAUAAGGCUGGAGCAAUUCUUCAAACUCACCGGAAUUGGGCCUAUGAAGUUGUUAUUUUCAGCGGCAAAAUUUUUCAACGUUCCACCAAUGCAAAUGUUUUGAGGUAAAUGGCCUAUAAAAUUAUUGCCAGCUAGCUGCAAACUUUCCAGAGCAGUAAGCAUGCUCAGUUCUAUUGGAAUCUUGCCACCAAGUUCAUUUCCAAUAAAUCUUAAUGUCCUGACUUUUGAUAAAUUUCCAAUAGUGGAAGGAAUUGAUCCAGUGAGUUCAUUAAAGGAUAUAGAUAAUACACUAAGCUUUGACAAAUUUCCAAUGGUGAAAGGAAUGGACCCAGAGAGUUUAUUUUCAUGAAGGCGAAUGUCGUCCAAAUUGACCAAGUUGCCUAUGGAAGCUGGGAUUGGUCCAGUGAGUUCAUUAAAGGAUAUAGAUAAUACACUAAGCUUUGACAAAUUUCCAAUGGUGAAAGGAAUGGUACCAGAGAGAUCAUUGUCAGAAAGAUUAAGAAACAAGAGUUUGGAGAGAUUACCAAUGGUAUUGGGAAUGCUACCAAAGAGGUUAUUAAUGGACAAGUCAAGAGUGUUGAGAUUGGAUAAGGAACCAAUUUGAGGAGGAAUAGUUCCAUUCAAGGAGUUGUGACUCAUAUUUAGAGUGAAAAUGUUUGGAAGUAAUGAGAAGUUGAGACUUUGAAGCGUACCUCUUAAUCCAACAUUUGUAAGAUUUAUGUUGGAAACAGAACAGAACUCAUCACAUGCAAUUCCGAACCAAUUGCAAGGAUUAUUGCCACUCCAUGAAGAGAGAGAAGCAUGACUUUGGUUUUCAAGGCUGGAUUUCCACUUCAACAAAGCAUUUGCUUCUGAAGCAAUCUCAGAAGAAGCAGCAAAUGCACAGAAGUACAUCACAAGAAGCAGCAAAAGUGGUUGGAGCUUCAUGGACAGAAGCGUUGGAAAUAUGAACACCAUGAGGAAAUUUUGAGGAAGGAUUCAAUCACAGAUUGUCUGAUACAAUCAAAUGCAGGAGAAGUACUUACAAGCAAUUCAUGGGAUAUGCACACUUAAAUGCAAAACAUCGUGAACCACGAACCAGAGUCAAGAGAUAUUAUAUAACUAAUUUAUGGGAUAUUAUCCUUGAGAAACUUUAAAUAAAAUAUUUAUAACUAAUUUUUAUUUCUAAUGAACAUAAUAGGACCUUUUUCAGGGCAACAUAAUAGAACUUUAAAUUAAAUAUAAUUAUUAUUUUCUGGCAUUGUGAUUAUGGGAUCUUAAUAAUAAGCUUUAUAUAUUAUAUGUCUUAAAAAUUGCUGCUAAAAAUAUAUAUAAGUUUUAUAAAAAAAUUAAUGUAAUAAAGUUAUGUAUUAUUAAAUAUAUAUAUAUAAUUUAGAAAAAAAUAUUAAUUUUUUGCAGUCCCUUAUACAUUUUAAUUAUAUUAAAUCAUUUAAAUGUUAUAAUAUUGAAAACUAAUUAGGAUGAAGACUGAAGAGAAGCGACAAAUUCAUAAUAAUUCAUAAUAUGGAAGCAAUUAAAUUGAGAAAGACAAUAUCAAACAAGACAGCCGAUCAGUGGGGUCAAUAUAUGUCUAGCUUGGUAUGUUGCACGCGUUUACUUUACAACACUGUUUCUGUUUGCAAUCAGAAAUUUCCAUAGUGUUAUGCAUGGGUAAAUUUCAAACUUCCACAUAACCAUUCCUGUAAAACUGUAUUUUUUUUUACAACUGUUUUAAUUAGAAUAUAAAAGAAAUUUAAUUUAAUUUAUGCUAUAAAUCAUUGAAUUUUAAAAAUAUAAUAAGUUUAAUUAUGUGUUUUAGAUGAGCUUAGUUGUUUCUUUUGUAGAUGAGUGUAAUUAAGAGUUGCAUUUUUGAUACGAGGGGAGGGGAGUUACUAUAUAUCCCAUGUAAAUUGUUAUUGGUUCCUAGCUAUCAAGAGGUUGAGAGUUUUUUAUUUAUUUUAGAAUUACUCUCGUUGAAUAAAAUAUACAUUAUGAUUGCAUUAUGCAUUGUUUUUACACCAUUUUGUUGCAACGGAUAUGUUGCACAAUAAUUUUUAUAUGUCUAUUAUGAUUGUGAAGUCCUUGUGAUCUAUCAUCUUUUUAAAUUUUACUAAUAAAAAAAAUACGACUUCACACUAUCAUUAUCUCAACACCAAUCAAGAAAUUGAUAAAAUAUUAUAAAAAUAUAUUAAUAAUAUUUAUUUAUAUUUGAUGAUAUUUCUUAAAUGUGACCAAAAAAAUUUAGUAAUAUUUUACUAAAUGUUAAAUAAAAAAUAUUACUAACUUUCAUUGUGUAGUAGUGAAUUAUAUUUUAGAUUAUUAUAAUUAACAGUAUAACUUAUACAAUUAAUUAUUAUAAAUAUAUAUUAUAUAUUUAAAAUAUAUUUUAAUUAUUAUUUUAGAAAAUUAGUAUUCUAAAAGAAUAAUUACAAGUGAUAUACGUAUAUAUAAGUAAAAUCAAAUUAAAUACAAAUAUUAAGGUAGUAUUUAGUUAGUGUUAUUAAUCAUAUUUAUAUAAAUAUUUAAAUAAUCUAGUAUUUUUCUAAUAUAAUAUUCAUUAUUAUAUUUGUUAAAAAUCAUACAUGAUAAAUUUUAAUAAUAUUAUUAAAUAUAAUAUGUUGAUUGAAUUUAAUAAAUGUAAUGAUAAUAUAUGGAUAUUAGACAUUCAAAUUAUUAAAUAAAUUUAUUUAUAUAAAAAUUAUUAUUAAAUAAAAUGAAAUCACUAAAAUAUAUAUUUUAAAAUCUUAUAAAGAAUAUUUUUUUAGUACGUUGCGUUAAUCCUAAAUGUUUAUAUCUAGGAGAAGGAUUUAUUUAAUAAAAAAACUUAUAUUUGAUUUGUUUCAUGUGUAAAUUUUUUUAUUUCAAUGACAAACACCAAUACUAAAUAAAAUUUGUCUCGGACGGAGUAAGUAGAGGAAAUCCGUGUUCUUUGAACGGAUAAAAAUAGUAUAUUAAAUUAUAUAUUUUAUCAUAAGGGAUGAGCUGCGAAAGUACAAUACUUCCUAUCUAUUAAAACAGAAAAGUAUCUACCUCAAAAAUAUCUUUUAAGAAUAUAUAAGAAAGCUUACAACAAAAUAUGUUGAAUCAAAAGAUCUUUUAUUAUUUUAUCGACAGAAAAAAUAUCUUUUUUAUUCUUCAGCUUGUAAAAUUUUCUUUGAAAAUAUGUUCCCUAAAUAAUGAUUGGACAAUUAUGUUCUCAAAAAUUUCAAAAUAACAAAGAAUGUCUUUCUCAUUUUUUAAAUCCUCAAAAAUUUUCUCUCUUAUUCCUCGGAACGUGCCUUGCCUUCCUCAAAAUUUCUGUGUAUAGUGUAAUAUUUACAUAAGAAGAAAGAAUGAAGUAUAAUACCUGCCUUUGUAAAGGGAAAGAUACAAAAAAAAAAAAAAAGAUAAAACAAAGGAAGACUACGAACGCAGAUAUAAGAAAACCCAUGGAUGUGCACUGCAUCCAGGACCAGCCCCUAAUAAGUAAUAACCCUUAGGGAGGGUUAUAUGAUCACGAUUUGAUUUGAUAUGCUUCUAGAUUAACUACUCAAAUGAAAAAUAUUGAAUUUCCUUCCUAUUUUUUAAAAAUAUAUAUCAAUGUAUUUACUACCACCUCCUCUAAGAUGCAAAUAUUUCACUGCACUCCCUUCUUGUGUCAAAAUACAUACUUCAUCCCUUAACUAAUGUGCGCUUAUAUAUAUAUAUAUAUAUAUAUAUAUAUAUUUCGUUUUUAAAAUGUUUAAUUAAUUUUUUUAAAACAAUUAUAAAAUUUUAAUGUCUGAAUACACACACUUAGUAAAUCAACGCUCUAAAUCCGUAGAAGGUCAUGCUCACCCAAUACUAUCCAUGCUGACCCAGCAUGGCCCGUGUUGGCCUUUAUGUUGUAGCUUAUUUUAAACAUUAUAAAUAGAAAUGUAAAAGGUAUUUUUAGGUUAUGCUUUAUUUUUAUUUACAAAUAGAAACAUCUUUUGAGAAGAGAAUUACACCAGAAAUAAUUGGGCGAUCCGAAUCUGUUAGUAUUUUUAAUCUCUUUUAUUUUUUAUGUAAUAUUAUAUGUUGUUUAACUAUUAUGUGGUCAUAAUUGGCCAAACUCCUUAGAACUUGGAUUCUGAUGUGGCUAUACUCAUUUAUUUUAAUUUCUCUUUUUAAUAAAGUUCUUCGAAAUUAUUUAAUUAAUUGUAUCUUUCUAUUGCUUUCACUUCUAUAUUGAAAUCAUUCUGAUUAUUAGUUCAUUAUGUGUUUAUGGUCAUCUUCUCAUAAUUAACUGACCUAUAGAAUGAAAUGGUUCAUAAAGCUUGAAUGAUCAAACUGGUGGCAUGGAUCCCUUUUUUUUUUUUACAAACUUCUAUAUUAUUUGUCUUUAACCAUAAAUUAAAUUUGAAAUGACUAAUGCAUGAUUAAUUUUGGGGAGAGAGUAUUCUCAUACCUUAACCAUAAGUUGACAAUUAAAAUAAGAGAUAUUAGACGAUUAAUCGAUAACUUAGAGUUCUUAAUUAAAAUAGGAAUUAAGAAAAAACGAUACAUGCGAAAUCAUAAUAUGAGUCACUCCUUUUCAUACAUAUCUUUUCUUCAAAUUGUUGUUUGUUUUUAAUUUUAUUUUCUUGAAUGCAAAUGCAAAUCAUCCCCAACUUAAGAUAAAAACUCAAAAUUAUUUAUUUUAUCCGAUUUAGAUUAUUUGGAAACACAACUACAUUAUGCAAUAUGAAAUCCAAACUUUCAGUUUAUGGUACACUUAGCAUUAGUAAAUCCAUAUUUUACACAUUAGUAAUUAAGUAUGUUUUCAUUAUUCCUUUUCAAUUUUAAUUAUUGUUAUUAAGAUCAGAAUGUACCAUUUGAAUCUAUUUUUCUAAGGAAACUACUAUUGGCCCUUACACAUUGCUUUUGGACCCUACUCCCCCCUUCAAAAUACUCAUAUGCCCAUAUUGGGCAUUAACUACUUUUUUUUUUAAUUAUUAUCCAAUUUGAUCCCUCUUUUUUGUGAUAUUCAUUCAUUAUGAUCUUUUCGUUUGACAUCAUUUGUGUCAAUUUAGACAAAGGAGUAAUAUGAGCAUUUUUGUUUUAGAAAUCAAAUUCAACAUUUUAAAAAUAGACAGAUCAUUAUGAAUAAUAAAUAAAAAAAAGACCAAAAGAAUAAUUUAAACUAAAAAUAAGGAUAAAAAGAAAAAAAGAAUUGAAAUGAAUGAAAUGGAUCAUGCGUAAAAUUAAACAUAUGAAUAUUUACUUAAAUCACAUUAGUCAACAUUUAAAAUAUCAUAUAUGUUUCUCAUUUUAAAUAAAUUAUUUCUCUUAAAAUUUAUUUUAGAUCUCAUUUGUUAUUGGACCGACUCAUAUCUCUACAUUUUCUACCACGGCAAAGCUAGCUCCAGCCAUUGCCAAAUGAUUUGAAGUCUCACCUCUUAAAUGAAUAGAAACUUUUCGCCAGAAUUAAACUCCACAUACUUUCUGGAAGUCUUUUGUACAGAGUCAAUUUCCAAAACGGUGAUGUCUAGUUAAAGGCUAAUAGUAGUACUAUGUAUGCUGUGGAUCCUGUCAUGUAUGUCACAUUCAUUGACUUUGCAUAAAAGAGAGAGAGAGAGCAAGUUAAUUAACAUUAUUUUACUGUCUUUCAUUAUAUAUUACAUCUGGAGAAUUUGCUGGUGGAUGCUGAUGGAGAGCUUAAAGUAUCAGAUUCUGCAUUGAGUGUUCUGCCUCAACAAUAAUUUGGGUUUUCCAAAUUAUUCUCGCAAGAGGUCUGGACCUAUUUUUUUUAUGAUCUCUCGAUAAAAAGAUUCAUUCUCUUCGUAAAAAAGAGGAUGUAGAAUCAAUAAAGAGUAAUUUUUCAAUUCAUCCCUCGAGUUGAAUAACUCAUUCAAGAAAUAUUUUUGAACCAAUCCGAAGGAAUCAAUAGAAAAAGCAAAUUCCUUAUAAUACACCAGAUCCGGCUGGACUAUUGAUAGAGUGAAUAGAUCUGUCAUUUCUUGAAAUAUCUCUUCUGAUUCAAAAUCGUAAUGGAUCGUGUAUCUCCCACUGUUUCGGUUAUGAAAUAGAUGAAAUAAAUCCCAAUAUGAAUUUUUGUUCAAGAAUAAAAUCUUAUUGGAACUGUCCAGUUCACUCUUUGAAACUAGCAUGCUGGCUAAUUUUUUCAAAAAAUUAAAAGGACAUUUAUGUCCAAUUUGGCAAGUUAGAGGCUGCUUCUCACAAGAUAUGUUUCGCAACAUUAUAUGGCCUCACAGGUAUUUUAGCAUUUGCUGCUGCUAUAAUCAUAUCUUUUAUCUCUCACACUCCAAUAAGAUUACUGCUUUCAUUUAUCAUAUAUAUAGGUGAUACUACGAGGGUGCAAGGACUGAUCUAUUCUAUGGUCCUGUAGUAUUUUUCUUUUUGUUCUAAUGGCUGGUUAUUUGGAUUUCAAUGACAAUAACAUAAAGAAAAGUGGGGUAUUUUAUGAGUAUUCUAGCUCUCUUAAUAUAUGGAGUGGUCUUUUUUCCUAGCAUGAUUGACUGGAUUCAUCUCACAUUAGUUGAUGCAUUCUUAGUCUAUUAUUAUCGACGGGAAAGUCAUGUGGUUGCUUAAGAGUAACACAAAAAUUGAAAUAGAUAAAAUCAUAUGAACUUUAAACAGUAAUGAAUUAAUAAUAUAUGAGCAAAGGUCUAAAAUUCAGUUAUUUAAGACUAGAGCACUUUAGUAAAUAAGACCCAACAUCGUAGUUCUAAAAAUGCAUUAUUAUGGCGUCAUAUGUAAAGGUGAUUCUCACAAAAUGUUUCUUAUGCUGGUGUUGGUUGUAGCAUCCUAUUUCUCAUAAACUAAUUUAAAAAAUAUUGUUAUUUGUAACAUAAAUAGAGUUUUAUCAAAAAUGAUAAGUUUUCAUACAUUAACUACCUAAGACGAAAUAACUUUAUUAAUUAAAAUAAUGGUUUAGAGACAACUACAACAGGGUAUUAUAUUUAUUCAUUUGAUAGUGAAUAAAAUAGAGUUCAUUUUUAUAAAAUAAUAUAAAUAAAUACCUAAAUAAAGUACAUAAUACGUUGUGAGUACCCUAGCUAUAAAUAGAGAAAUGAUAGGUCAGUUUUCAGACUGACGAUAGCUUUUCAACCUCCUCUUUNNNNNNNNNNNNNNNNNNNNNNNNNNNNNNNNNNNNNNNNNNNNNNNNNNNNNNNNNNNNNNNNNNNNNNNNNNNNNNNNNNNNNNNNNNNNNNNNNNNNNNNNNNNNNNNNNNNNNNNNNNNNNNNNNNNNNNNNNNNNNNNNNNNNNNNNNNNNNNNNNNNNNNNNNNNNNNNNNNNCCCUUUCUUCUCACAAAAUCUCUCUUUCCCGCAUACCACCAAACCUAUCUCAGAAAAACGACGAUAUCAGACUCAUUCACCGUUGGAUAGUCGUGAAAUUUAAGAACCAGGUUUGCAACUCAAUUCUAAGCAUUCUCACCAUUGGGAAUUAUGAAAACAUAUCAGAGCUGAGAGUAAUACCCUUGGCAUUGUAACUUUUCUUUUCCCCCAGAAAUCCAGAGCUAUCUCGGUAAAACUACGAUCCCGAACUUUUUAACCGUUGGGUUGUUGUCAGAUUUUUAUAUGUGGUUUGCGAUUCAUUUCUACACGUUUUCACCAUUGAGAUUUUCAAAAUAAUGUCUGUUGAGGGAGAAAGAUGCAUCGCAUGUAGGACCAUAGAAUGGAGGCUUCAUUCCCUUCUCCUUCUGUCUAACGUUUGGAAACCAGAGGAGGAGCUCUAGAGAGCACCAGAAAUGCCACAAUUGAUAACGGAGAACGCUUGAGCGAUUACAUCGAGGUAAGAAAUGAGUUAUUCACAAAUGGGGAUUAGUGAGAACAUGUGUAGGGAUCCUUAGAGUAUCAAUUAGAAUGAGUUUUGAGGUGUUUCUACAAUUUUUAUUUUAUCCUUAUAGUUAUAACUGUGAAUUAUAUAUGUUUGAUGAAUCAGUUGAUGUCCCAAUGAAAAACUACUGUGAAAUUGAUGUGUUCUUGUGUUGAGUGUGAAUCCUAUAAAUUGAACCUUUUUCUAAUUAGCGUUGUUAGCUCUUUGGCAAGUGUACCAAAUCGCUCGUAGUAUUAAUCUCUUGGUAAACCGAGUGUCGUACCCCAGGGAUUUUGUUGCACUUAUGUGAAGUACUUUUCAGUUUGCAAAUUGUAAAUUUAGUGUAUGCAAUUUAAAUCUAGCAAGAGAUAAGAAAUUUAAAAUAAAAGAUAAAGAAAAAUAAUAGAUAAGAUAAAGAAAAGAUAAAAGAUUUAUAGAUAAGGAUAAAGAAAAAUAAUUAAAAUCUAAGUAACUACUUCUAAAAGAAAACUAACGCAAUAAAUAAAGAAUAAGUCUAUAAAAUAUUACUAACUCUAAUAAGCCUAAAUACCUACUCCUAAAUAAAAUAGGGGAUAACUACUUCUAAUAAAACCAAACAGUAAAAUAAGGAAUAACUAUUUCUAAGAAAACCAAACAAUAAAAUACGAAACAAUAAAAUAAGACUUAAAAUCUAUAUAAUAAAAUUGCUAAAACCUAACAAGUCUAAUCAGCCUAGAUAUAUGGAUUCAGGAUUUGUUUGUUAUCAAUACCAGUGAACUGAUUCUGCCCCACAUCUAUCCAUCUACUUGCCUCUGAUGCCUCAUGAUGACAAGCCUACCUUAAUUACCUAUCUUCCAAAUGCCCUUUGCGAAGACUCAAUAACUAAGAUGCAUUAAGAUUAAAUUCUAGAUGUUUGCUAAAGCAUGGGCAUCGGGUCAAUGCUAACCCUAUGAUUUCUUUCUUUUAUUGUUCUAUUAAGCGUUACCCUCUCCCGAGUGGACUAACCCUUAAAACAGAUUCACGCAUUCAUUCCUUACCCCUAAUUAGGCUUUACCCUCUCCCGAGUAGACUAAAGACUAACAGAAAAUAAAGACUGAGAUGCAUAAUAAAUAAGAAAGAAAAGCAUAUAAAAGAACCUGGAAGGAAAACCCUCUAAUGAUAACCCGAUGAUUUCUUCCUUUUAUUGUUCUAUUAAGCGUUACACUCUCCCGAGUGGCCUAACCCUUAAAACAGAUUUACGCAUUCAUUCCUUACCCCUAAUUAGGCUUUACCCUCUCCCGAGUGGACUAAACCCUAACAGAAAAUAAGGUCCGAGAUACAGAAUAAAUAAGAAAGAACGGUAAAUAAUAAGAACCUGGAAGGAAAUUCUCUUUUUAUUGAUAACUCUUGAAAUGAUCCAUACAUCAUUGACUUUUUAGGCCUGCCAGGCCCUAACUAGGGGGUUUAGCCACUCAUAGUCAUGAGGGUUUUACAAUGAGAAGGGGGUGAAAGAAAGUAAUAAGAAUAUAAGAAAAAGGAAGGAAAAGGAGAGAACUGAGUGCCAGAAGUCUGAAAAUUGAGCUCUGAGGAAGUGUGUUCAUUUUCCUAGGCUGACCCUCUUAUUUAUAGGUGCAAACUUGGGCUUGGGUCUUCGCAGUCUCGCUGAGCGCGAAGCCUCGUGCUCAGCGCCACGUCGCGCUCAGCGCAUGUCGUGCACUUAACGCCUUGCCUUCUUGCGCGUUGGGCGCGUCCUGCGCUUAGCGCCUUGCUAGACUUGGGCUUCUUCUGAUUUUCUUUUUUUUUUAUUUCUGCUCCUUUUUGCUUGUUGUACCUCCCUUUUUCACAUCUGCAAUCAAAAUUCGAAAUUAAUUAAAUCUUUCCAAAUUAAAGCAUAAAUAACUGCUAAAUAAUUAAUUCUAAGUUAAUUUUAGACCGAUUUUCCACUAUUAAUUCACUAUUAUUUAGCAGCUAUCAAGCGUGAAUUGAUAAAAUUAAGUAAGUAGAAGUUUAGCGUAAGAGGGAGUGAGAUAUUGAUUUUGUCUUUUCUCCUUUACAUGCUUUUUAGUUUUUUUAUAGUUUAAAAUUAAUAUUAUAUUUGAAAUUGACCAAAGAUUUCUAGUAGACUGUGUGUUGUAUUCUUAGAUAAUAUAUAUAAAUUCAUGUAUACUUAUAUAUACGGGAAAGUGUUCAUAUAAUUAUUUAGAAUUGGUACAUUGAAAGCUUAAUUACUUUGAAAUUCAUGACCCAAUAUGAUGUAUGUUGCUGGUUUUAUAUAUAUAAAUUUAGCUAUAUAUUUAUUUAUAUUAAUAUUUAAUGUAUAUAAUAUUGUAGUGUUGUUAUAGUGUGAUUCCAAAAAUUAUUCAAGUGUUGGAGUUUGAGAAUAUUAUGGUUAGAUUUGAGGUACAUGUGUAUUGAGAUGUGUGUAUUGAGUUGUGAGUUGUGAAUUAUACAAUAACCCAACCAGUGUUGAUAUUGAGAAAAGUGUUGAUGCGCAGUGUUAAAGAGAAAGUGUAAGUUUCCUAUUUAGGAAUCAGUGUUAAAUUGUAGCGCAAUAUGUUAAACGUGUUUGAAACAUGAGUGUGAGGUCGUGUAUAUUGUAUAAUUCAUGAGCAGUAUUUAUAAAUGGAAUGUGUGAUGAAUUGUGGAAUAACAUGUUGCUUUGAGAUUAUAAUAUUGUUAUUGAGAUUGAGUAUAAGUACAAAGUUUAACAUGUGUUAAUUUGUGAGAUACGUGUAAAUAUGUGAUGGUAGAUUGUGACACUAUGAUAUGUGAAAUUGUGAAUGAGUUUUGGCUGUAAAUAAGUGUGUGGUUAACACUUGAUGUGACAUUACUUGUGUUGUAAGUUGUGAAUUGUAUAAUAAUCCGACUAGUAUUAUCUUGAGAAAAGUGUUGAUGAACAAUGUUAAAGAGAAAGUAUAGGUUUCUUAUUUAGGAAUCAGUGUUAAAGAGAAAGUGUAGAUUUUCUAUUUAGGAAUCAGUGUUAAAUUAUAGCGCAAUUGUGUUAAAUGUGUUUAAAACACGAGUGUGAGAUCGUGGGUAUUGUAUAAUUCAUGAGCAGUGUCUGCAUGCAAAAAAUGAUUUUAGGGGUUAGACCUGAAUCAGGAGGGAGAGGCCCUGACGGACUCUUCCAAGUGUAGGUCUUGGGGGUCACCCGGUUUGAGUGCUCCUUUAAGCCUGUGCCGAUCCCGCAUGAUUGGAGCAUUCUCGCAAAAUAGCGUGACCCUGACUGAUCUCCCUAUGAUUUUACUUAGUGAGAGUGACCUGACAUACCCAUUGUGUGGUAUGUCUUGUUAUGUACUCCUAAGCGCCCUAGGGUGGUUUUUCACUGACAUGGUACCACAUUGUAUAUAGGCUUGAGUCUUAGCAUAACUGUUGCAUACGCUUGCUAAUUAUUUAUUAUGAAAUUGAUGUGUUAUCAUGUCUUGAUCGGAGUGUGUGAUUCUUGUGUAAUGUGAUUGAUGAUUGAAAAGUGAUUUUGAAUGACAAAGUGAUUGAAUUACGUGAGUUAUGUUUAAGUAAAUUUUAUUUUAUUUAUAUGAUAUGUAUAUCUAGUUGUCUUGCUUCUCUAUUAGUUAAAAAUGUGAUAACUCACUCUCCGUGUGUUGUUUGAGUUUGGAUCCUGUGAUGAUCUUAAACUUUGUGUUCGAGGGAACAGAUGACUAGAUGAAUUGAUUUAAGGAACCUUGUGCUGAAGAACGUCAGGACACAAUGCUCUGAUAGGAUGUGACAUUGGGGCAUCAUAGUCUAUUUUAUUUUACCUCACUGAUUUAACAAAAUAUUUUUUUUUAUAAAUUUUGAUGGCCUUGUUUUGAGCCAAAUAUAUUUUUAACAAGUUUUAUUUGGUAAUAGUGAAGUGAAUGUGAACUUUUUAUCCACGUGAAUUUGUUUACCAAUAUUUUUAUAUAUUUUAUUUAUUUAUAUAUAUUUCGAGGUAGAGGGUGUCACAUUGGUCAGCAUAACACAUUUUUCUUCUAGAACACAUGAUAUCUAGGCAAUUCUAAAAGUAUGAAACAAUUUUAAAUAGACUUUUGAAGAACCUUAUAGUUAAAUACACUUUGACCAAUUUUGAAGAAUAAAAGUAUGAAACAAUAUAUAAACUUGAGAAUGUCAUUUUGUUAGCCUAUUUUAAUUCCAAAUUAUAAUAUCUAUUCCAAACUAUAUAUAAAAAAACCCUAAAAAGCAAGAAAAGGGAAAAAAUACAAAAUCAGUAUCUCAGUUCCUCUUACAGUAAAUAUUUCCUUAUUUAAUUUCAUCAAUUCACACUAAUUAGAAAAAUACUCAUUUUUUAGGGUUCAUGCUCAACACAAGAACACAACAAUUUCAUAGCAAUUUCACAUCGGAACACCAAUUAGUCUGUCAAACAUAUAUAAUUCACAGUUAUAGUUGUAAACAUAGAAUCAAAAUUUCAUAAACACCCCAAAAUUCAUCUCAAUUGAUCUUCUAAGGAUUCCUACACAUGUUCUCACUACUUUCAAUGGUUAACAAGUCAGGGAUCAUAGUUUUACUAGAAAAGGGAACGAUUUAGAAGGAAGAGAAAGUGUAGAAACAUCUUAAUAUAACUACUGACCUAAUAUGUUUCUAUUUAUAGCUAAGAUGCUCUGAUCAUAUUAUUUACUCUAUUUUUAUUAAUUUUAUUGUUUUAUAAAAAAGAACUAUAUUUUCUUAUUAUGAAAUGAAUAAAUAUAAUUUUUUUUAUUUUCUAAAAACACAUUUAUUUUAUUUAACUUAAAACCAUUAUUUUAAUUAACAAAAUUAUUUCUCCUUAUUUAUUAAAUUAAAAACUUCAUUAUUUUUCUAAAAAUUUAUUUAUUUUUAAAUAAAAGAAUUUUUAAUUUAUUUAAAAAAUGGAAUGUUAAUGUGACUUUUGAGUAGUUAGUACAAGACUCUACCCAACUAAGCUAAUAGACCAAUUAUGUUAUAAAAUAAUUAAUGUUGCUAUAUAUAAUACUAACAUUUCUAAUAUAUAUUUAAUACACAUAUAAAUUUAAAUAAUAAAUUUAGUGACAAUUAAUUUUGAUCUAAUAAUUAAUUUUUUACAUAUAUGAAUUGUAAAUGAAACCUAUGAUUUUUAUAAUAUAUAUAUAUAUAUAUAUAUAUAUAUAUAUAUAUAUAUAUAUAUAUAUAUAUAUAUUAUUAGAUCAAAAUACAUUAGUAGAUUUAUGUUAAUAAUGUAUCUUUUACAUAUAUAAUUUUUUUUAUUAAACCUACGGUUUUUAUUUACAAUUUCUAUAUGUAAACAAAUUAAUUAUUAGAUCAAAAUUAAUUGUUACAAAAUUUAUUAUGUAAAUUUAUAUAUGCAUUAAGUAUACAUGAAAAUUUUUAGUGUUAUCUAUAGCGACAUUAAUUAUUUUAACAUAAUUGACUUAUUAGCUCUGUUGGUUAGAGCGUCGUACUAACAAUGUCUAUAAACCAAUUACGGAAAGGCAAUAUGGGAAUUCCAAUGUUGUGUUGGGUAUACUAGAAAAACAAAUGGUGCACGUAUCAAUUCCCAAACCAAUAAUGUUUUGUGUUGGACUUUUAUGGACUUUCGUAUAUUUUGGGUUUUUAAUUGUAAUCCGAGUGAAUAGGCAAUUUAGUCCCUGAGAUUGUACCCAUUUUGCAUAUUACUCCCUAACUUAAUGUUAAAUUCAAAAUAGUCCUUAUCUUUGCAUAAGUGUUGCAAAAUAGUCCUUCCGUUAAAUUUUAAAGUAACGUCGUUAGUGAGGUCAAUUUUAGUGUCACGUGUACUAUCCAACGUGGCACUAAAAGAUGACGUGGCAUGACACAUGGACGUGCCUCCUAAAAGAUACCACGUCAUUUGAUGAUAACAAAACGAGUAAAUAGGCAAUUUAGUUCCUGACUUUGUACCCCUGUUGCAUAUUAGUCCCUAACUUAAUGAAAAAUUCAAAAUAGUCCCUAUCUUUUGCAUAAGUAUUGCAAAAUAGUCCAUAACUUAAAAGAUGCCAAAAAUCGUGCUUAAAGUGUCCAUGCAUUGCGAAGGUUGUGCCUUGCACGAUUUCUGGCGACGGAGAUUCCUCCUUGAAUUCCUUGUCACCUUUUGAUUCCUUUGGUUUUUUCUCCUCUUCUUUCUUUUCUUCUUCCUCUGCUUUUUUCUCCUCCACUUUGUUUUUCUCUAGUUUUUUCUCUUCCUAUUCAGAACACAAAAAAAAAAAAAUCAAAACUCGGAAUGAUACAUUGAUGGUAAUUGAAGAAAAAAAAAGAGAAAAAGAGAAUGGUUAUGCAGACCUCGUCCAUUGGUGUUGACGGCUACAAAGAUAAGGUUGUUGCUGUGUAUUUUUGGUUCUUUUUAUUUGUGCAAGUGUGUGUGGGUUCUUUCUCGUAUAUAUGCCUCAAUUGGUUCAGAACCAUCAAAUUUGAAGAAGUCACACAUUCUAUCAUCAUCAAAUGACGUGGCACUAAAAUUGACCUCACUAACAGUGUUACUUUAAAAUUUAACGGAAGAACUAUUUUGCAAUACUUAUGCAAAAGAUAGGGACUAAUUUGAAUUUUUCAUUAAGUUAGGGACUAAUAUGCAACAGGGGUACAAAGUCAGAGACUAAAUUGUCUAUUUACUCAUUUUGUUAUAAUUAAAUGACGUGACAUCUUUUAAGAGGCACGUCCACGUGUCAUGCCACGUCAUCCUUUAGUGUCACGUUGGAUAGUCCACGUGGCACUAAAAUUGAUCUCAUUAACGGCGUUACUUUAAAAUUUAACGGAAUGACUAUUUUACAACACUUAUGAAAAGAUAGGGACUAUUUUGAAUUUUACAUUAAGUUAGGGACUAAUAUGCAAAAUGGGUACAAUCUCAGGGACUAAAUUGUCUAUUCACUCAUUGUAAUCCAUAGCCCAAGUAUAUCAACACACUUUCGUAGGAACUAGGGUUAUCAGAAAUUAAAUGUAGAAGCAGUUUUCUUUAAGCUUUCCUUUAUCGUCCCCUUGCAAUUUAUCUUUCUUAGUCUAGUUAGCAGCAGAGUCUAUCAAUCUAAAUGUGGAAUGUUAUUCAGUUAUCUAAGACUAGACCACUCUAGAGGAUAAGACCCCAACAUCGUAGUUCUAAAAAUACAUUAUUAUGGGUUAUAUGUAAAGGUGAUUCUCACAAAAUGUUUCUCAUGCUGGUGUUGGGAGCAUCACACAUUUUUCUUCUAGAACACAUGAUAUCUAGGCAAUUCUAUCAUGAGCAUAAUGCUUUACGUAAAACAUCCAAUCAAAAACUCAAGAUAAAAUUGAAAUAAUUUCAGUUCAAGCUUCCUUAUAAGUAGUUCAUGCAUCUUCCUUUACUUUGCUGACUUGUCGUUAAUUUUAAAUUAAUUGAAGCAAAGGGAACAAUUGAUUUGAAUUAUUAUAUUUUCUGAAACAAAAAAAAACACUAUAUUUGUUUCCUUUAUUUUGAUAGGAAAAAAAUAAGGCGAACAAAUGUUAUCAUUAAUUUGGUUAAGGUAUCCAAAGUUCAGAAACCCAAAAAUCUAAAAUAAAAUGACCUACAAUAUUAAAAAAAAGAUACAAUACAAAAAUAGAAAAGAAAAUUUAAAACUCAAGCUUGUUUAUUAAGUUCAAUCUUUCAGCUAUAUAUAAGUGAGAAUGUAGAGCUAAUCCAUUGAAGAUGAGCUUGACAUUACCAGCUCAUUGGCAACCUGUUCCAUGGUAGGGCGAGAUCGUGGACUUUCAGUCAAGCAGGUCAUUGCUAUCUUUGCAAUUGAUGCCACCUCCUUACCAAUUGGCUCUGUUGGAUGAGGGAGACGUGGGUCCAACUUAUCCAUCAAUGCCAUGUGAUCGAGUGUUGAGGCCACAAGAGUAGAUGGAGAUGAUCCCAAUAAAGAAGAUAUAACAUCACCAGGGUGCUUCCCAAUAAGUAUUUCCCAUGCUAGGACCCCAAAACUAUACACGUCACAUUUCUCAUUCACCUCCAUUGUGUAUGCAAGUUCUGUAACAAAAUAAAAGUGCUAUCAUACGCAAAAUAGGAUUCUAGUGACAAAGGCAAAAUGUGGACAAUUGUGACUAAGAAAGGCAAACUAAAAAAUAUGAUAUUCUCAAUUUAGUAUAAAGAAAGGUAAUUAACCUGGAGCAGCAUAUCCAAAGGUUCCUACGAAUGAGGUCCAAUUGGAUGAAUCUGGAUUAAGAAACUUGGCUGUUCCAAAGUCUGAGACAUGAGCUACAUAUUCGGAAUCCAAAAGAACAUUCUUGCUUGAUAUAUCACGAUGAACAAUUCGAGGUGAGCAUUCAUGGUGCAUAUAGCACAAAGCAUUUGCUACAUCUUUAACAACAUUCACCCUCUUAUACCAAUCAAAUGCCAUUGCUUGUCCAUCAUCCUUCAGAGUCUUCUCAACACUGCCAUUCUCCAGGAAUUCACACACCAAAAAUGAGAAUUGUGAAUGUGAACAAAACCCAUAUAACUUUACAAUGUUACGAUGUCGAAUUUCUGUCAAAGCUUGGAUCUCACAUGUGAAAGCUUUCAGAUUGAGCAUCUCUCCAUUUGGAACUGAAUGGAGUUUCUUCACAGCAACAACUUGACCUGUAGGCAGCACUGCUUUGUAAACACAUCCUUGCCCUCCAACACCAAUGAGAUGUCUGUCGUCAAAAUCUUCUGUGGCUUCAAUAAUAUUCUCGAAUACCAUUUUGCCAUCAAAACUCCAUAUUGCAAAUAUGUUAGGAGUUUGUAUACUUGUAGCCUGGUCUUCUUUGUUCGUUGAGGUUUGGCAUAAAUGAUACGAGACUCCGAAAGCAAAUAAUGCCAGUAUUAGAAUGCCCAAAGUAAGAGGUAAAAUUACUAUCAUUACUUUCUUCCUCAUAUGAUUAUGAGAUUUCCCACUUGAUGUUGAGCAAGGCUCCAAGCCAGUGACAUUUCCACACAAGCCUUUAUUAUUUCUCAAUGCUUCAAUUUUAGCAUUGUGGAAGGCUAGAAUGUUUGGAAGUGGACCCUCAAACUGGUUGUAUGAUAUAUCAAUAGAUGUCAAGGCCGUCAUAUCAUCGAAGCUAGAUCACCUGAAAGAUUAUUGUGUGAGAGAGAUUCAGUAGCUUUUUAAUUCUCCAAACAUUGAACGUAUUGUUCCUCUCAAAGAANNNNNNNNNNNNNNNNNNNNNNNNNNNNNNNNNNNNNNNNNNNNNNNNNNNNNNNNNNNNNNNNNNNNNNNNNNNNNNNNNNNNNNNNNNNNNNNNNNNNUGUAUGAUAUAUCAAUAGAUGUCAAGGCCGUCAUAUCAUCGAAGCUAGAGAGAUCACCUGAAAGAUUAUUGUGAGAGAGAUUCAGUGUUUCUAAGCUUUUUAAUUCUCCAAACAUUGAAGGUAUUGUUCCUCUCAAAGAAUUUCCACCAAGAUCAAGACUCGUAAGAAAUUUCAGUUUGCCAAGCUCUGAAGGAAUAUUUCCCUGAAAAUUAUUUUGGCUCAGACUCAUGUUCAAUAAAUUGAGCAAAUUUCCUAGUUGUUUUGGGAUUAAGCCAGACAAUUUAUUUGAUCCAAGCUUCAAAAUUUGAAGUUUCUGCAUUGAUGCUAUUUCUUUGGGAACAUUUCCUGUAAGAUUAUUGUUGUCGAGUGAGAGAUCAAACAAGGGCAAGUUACAUAAAUCAUGUGGAAUGUUUCCUGAAAGAUGGUUUGAAGACAGGUGAAGUCGUUGUAAUUUGGUUGCCCCAGCUAGUUCUGGUGGUAUCACACCUGAUAAAUUAUUGUUGGAGAUCAUGAGGCUUGUGAGGCUAC
rnacentral:lncRNA from 1 species